AACUUAAUCAGGUACUAGUGGGCCAGCCCAAUAACGGCCUGCUUAAUAAAGGCCCAUUUACGGCCCGAAGCCAGAUCUGGCCCGUUAAUUGUUCGCCCAAUAUUUGGGCCCAUUUACGGCCUGAAGCCAGAUUUGGCCCGUUAAUUGUUCGCCCAAUAUUUGGGCCCAUUUGCGGCCCGAAGCCAGAUCUGGCCCGUUAAUUGUUCGCCGAAUAUUUGGGCCCAACUACAGCCCAGUGACUUUCGGCUUGUUAGAGGCCUGAUGUAGACAUGGGCCCAUUUCAGCCCGGUGUGACUUUCGGCCUGGGAAUGGCCCGUGCUGCCCAUGGCCAUAUAUGGUCCGACGGGACAUCGGGCGCACUAACGGCCCGUGCUAAAGGUGGCAACAGUUAAGCCCAACGUGACUUUGGGCCUGUUAAAGGCCUGUCGCGUAAUUUGGUCAGUUGAUGCCUGUGCUAAGCUUUCGGCCUCUUAAAGGCCCAUGAUAUCAGUGGGCCAACUAAGGCCCGAGAUAUGUUUCAGCCUGGUAACGGCCUGUGAGCUAUCUGGGCCCAAAACGGCCCGGUCUACAUUUCGGCCUGCUGAAGGCCCGUUGACGACUAGUGAAAAUUGAGGCCCAACAUGCAUUUUGGCCUGCUAAAGGCCCAUGGUUUCAUCUCGGCCGUAACAGGCCAGUACAAUAUUCAGCCUGUUAAUGGCCCAACGCUACCUGGGCCAAACUAAGCGCUGGGUCGACAAAAGGCCCAACUAAAAUAUAGGCCGGUGUAAGUUUGGGCCUGGCGCAAUGUGUGAAGGCCCCAAUCAUUCGGGCCCAAGAAAGACGUAGGCCGGCCCAAUUGUGGCCCGCUAAAAACCUGGCCCGUUAGAGUCGAAUGUUUUGGUCCGGUCGACUACAUCUGAUUUUUUUUUCAGAUAGCGAAUGAUGGCAGUAACUAGUAGGAAUUAAGAACAAACCUACUCUAUACAAUAAAGAAAUUACGGCAUAGUAACUAAGAAUAAACCUACACUAUACAAUAAAGGAUUUUAGGUAUAUUACAUCCACUGGGCAUCGAAGUUCGCCACCAGUGAUCAUAAAGCGCAACGAAGAAGCAGAUUACAAAAACUGGGCACUAUUGCAGCGUAACAAAAUAAUACUGAACCGAGACCACUUCCAAGACAGUUCAAGAAAGGUUAGCCUUGCGGGGGAACUGCUGCGCAAGCUGCUGAGCAAGGCUGUGAGACCGGCCUAGCAUGUCGGUCAUAGCUUCCAGGUGUAGCUGUUUAGCGAUGAGGUUCUCAUUGGUGUUCUCCGCAAUCUUUCUUAGAGAUAGGAAUUCAAGUCGAAGAUGAGUUGCAGAAUGCCUUUCUGCUAGAACUUGGGACUGAAGAAGUGGAACUGAUUCAGACAACGAAUUCUGUGAGCUUGUCUGACUGUUAGUCUCAAGUAACUUGAACACUGCAUCAAGACAAGACUUUGGGGUUGUCUCGCUAUCUUCAAGAUGUGUUGCCUUCUUUGCUGCAAUAUAUAUUGGGUUUGUCUCACAGCCUUCAGCAGACUUGUGCAUGCCAUCAGGCAUAUCACCCUGAAACAAAGCAGAGAGAUGACAGGUUUUGCACGUGUAUAAACAAAGAUGAUAACGGUUCUGUCAAUUCUAUCCAAUUUCAAAUUAGAAAAUAAAGAGUAAGUUCAAAAUAUCAAUAGCAUAAUUUGGCAUUGUUCAUAAUGCGGGGAGCUUCACCACACUACUGGAUUACCAUGUCAACAUAACAAGCAUAGAUGAAGGGCAAAGAAAAUCAUUGUAUCUAUUUUGGAUAAUGUGCAUGGCAUGUUGUUCAUAUCAUCAGCCACAUCAGUAAGAUAAAACAGGAGAUGACAAGGUGCAAACGUGGGCUGCUUCACCACACACUGGAUUAUAGAUCCACAAAAACAAGCAUACAUAUAGGGAGUAUUAAGUAAUGUGCAUGGUAUGAAUAAGGAAUUUAGUUUUACAAGUAAAACUUAGAACUUACGGUUCUUACGAACAUGCAUUUUGGUAGAAACAACAAACUAAACAGUAGUAAACGAUAGGGAGUAUGAGCAAAUUAAACAGCAGUUGAGGAUAAAGGCUUUAGAAGGACUGACUUACAUUAACAGUUAACACCGGCUUUACAAUGCCCUUCUCCAUGUCAAGGGAAGGAUAACUCAAGAAUUUCAGCACAUAAUCUUCUUCAUAAGCAUUGCCUGUACUCUACAUUUUGUAGAGAGUAAUUAUAGAUAUGAUAAUACUGGAAGGGAUAGAGGAUAAUGAAGAUAAGAUGCAGAUUGAUGCUACAUAAUCAACUACCAAUCCCUGGAAGUACAAGCGUUACAGGACAAAAUGUACUGACAAGAGCAAUGGGCUACACUUCUGCACUGGCAUUGUCUGUGUAUCCUACUUGUUCGUAAGAUUAAAUAUAGAUCUGAUCUUUUUUAGUAAAUGGUGGGUGAGGGAGAUAAGAUGCAGAAUGCUACAAAAUGAACCAAUCCCUCUUCCCAUAAUACAGGAGUGUUUUGAACACUGGUGUACUGUACAAAACGUUCUUAUAUUAUGGGACGGAGGGAGUAGUUGUUAAUGUAAGUACAGUGAUAGACCACGUUCAGUCCUUACAAGAGGACUGUAGAGCUAAACCUCUUCAAAAGCAUUGGGUUGAUUCUAAAUUUAUGUAAGAGUCCAUACAGAUCUUAUAAUGUCCACCAAAUGGACGAUUACGAGGCUAACAUGUGCAGUGAUGCUACAUAAUCAAACAACUAUGAAAGUAAGUAUGGUCAUACAGGGCAAGAGGUACUCACAAGAGCAAUGCAGUGUGCAGUAUAGUUGCGAGAUUUUGUGGUCCCUUGAGAACGAAUGUUGUUCUGCUAACAGUUUUCGUACAAGUGAGACAUUAAGGCAAAUGCAGAAAUGUAGUUCAAAUUGUGAUGUGAUAUCAUAGACAGUACCUUAUGCAGCAGCUGAGACCAAUGUGUAACAAGAUUAUUCCAGUCACCGUCGGAUAAAUGUAGCACUGGAGACUUUACAGAAAUUUCGUUCAGAGGCUUGCCAUCGAAGUGCGCUUGCCUCAGGUAGGAACGAUACUUCAUCAACGAGUUCUUGAAAAGCUCAACCAACCCUUGCUCGUCAUCACAAUCCAGUUUGCUCCUCGCCUAUUUAAAAGAAUGAAAUCUUGUGUCUUUUGUCAGCAGAAACAUAUGCAGUAAUGACCAUGAAUAACAUUAGUACAUUACUUACGCGUAAGUUGCGGAGGAAGACAGGAAAUUGUUCUGUGUCUGCGGUAUAAUCUUCCCAUGAAGGAAAGAUGCGCACAAAGUUCCCGACAACAACAUAAGCUUCGUCUUCUAAACUGGGAAGAAAUGGAACAGGGGUCCUAUUUGCUGCAAUUGGGGCUCUCUCUGGUUCAAAAAGGGAUUUGGCAACUGGAUUUGGUGUACUCUUUGCUGGAAUGGGGGUUUUGCAUCGUACAGCUGGUGCUAUGUCAACUCGCAUAAUCAUACUGUUUGCUGCAGUUGGGGUCUGCUGAGUUGGGGCAUCAGAAAUGACCAGUGUAGUAGGGCUAGAGUCUGCUAGAGUUGGGGUAUUUGUGGGUCAGGUGAUAUUGCAACUACACCUAAUGGGCUAUUUGAUUUAUCAGGUGCCACUACUUUUUCCAAAUACUUUGCUUGUGCUCCUCCACGAUCAGCAAUCGCCCUCUUCCUUUUGAACAUCUGAUACACAAGAACAACAUUUGAAUGGAUAAAUAUGGUAUGAUGACAGAUGGAAUAUGUACUGAAAAUGGAUAGGCAGGGCGUAUUCACAUACACGAUGUGUAAACUAAGCUAAUGGCAGUUCAACAAAGUAGAAGCAAUGCAAAGCAUCAGUUGCAAGAUAUGUGCGAGCAAUGUAACCUUGGAAAGUUAGAGCAAGUACCUUGAUGGGUGAAUAAGAUAGGGCAUCUUCCUCUGACUCCUCCACUAGGGAGCUACAUUGACUUAGGUCUCCCUCUAGCUCAGAAUCACUGUUAGGAUCAUAUUCUGAGCAUGAAUCUGUAGGUGGAGAGCGUUUGCAUUGCAUUGCAUCCAGACUUGAUUUCAGUCCCUUAAUGCCAAGUUUGACAGCCAUGGCAUUGUUCUGCUUUAUUCUUUUCAUGCGCGCAAGCUCAUAAUCAUUAUGAUGCUGUUCAGAAUCUGAGAUUCAUGAAAACAUAAAAAGUAGUCAGAUUAUCUAUGGAAUGCAUUGCGGAUUCAACUUGGAGAGUGUCUCCCUAUAAACCCCUGCAUAUGCAAAGUUCACCUCCCCAACCGUGCUGACCAGACCACACACAGAAAUACAAACCCCUUAUGUCUCUAUAACAGGCAGGCACACAUUUCAAAACUGAAGUAGGAACAUUAGAAUCAUAUGAAAUUAGUAUUUGAACAAAUAAACUAAGCAAUUAUGAGUGGCAUAAUGUUUAGCUUCAAGGGUGGAGUGUUGGUAGCGCGACACAAAGCAAGUAGGCAGAUUGUAUUCCAUGUAAAAGAUCAAAACCUAUGUAAAAGCUGGAAAUGACACUUUCUUUCUAUACAAUGCAGUGUUCGUUACCCACACAUGAUGGAAGAGAUCACAUAGAGAAAUACUAUUCACUCAUGUCUACGGUUCCAGUAUUUAGAAACGGGGUGGUCCAACCUAAUAGAAUAUUGACAACAAAUAUGACAAGGCAAGCAUAUAUGUAGUGAAUCAAUCAUUUACUUGUGAGCUUACUAGGACAAGUAUGCAUAAUUGUAACUGCAGUAAGAGACCGUCCAAAAUCUGAAUGAAGAAGUUUGUCUAGAACUUAUUGUUUGCAACUAAUCGACGUGAAUAAUUGGAUAUUAUAUCGAAUGAGUAAGAAAGACAAGUAAAAUUGUCAACAAACCUGGCUUGCAGUAGUAAUCUGGGUCAAUGUCACUACGACCAACAAUCCAAAAUGACUAGUUUCUGUUCUGAGGGCCGGAAUUUUGAAAACCCUGUGAACUUUAGAGGUACUAAAGAUUACCGAAAUACAUCUGAACCAUUAAGUGUAGGUAGCACUGAGCACACAACAAACCCUAAUGACAGUCCUGCCAAAUGAGUAAUGAAUCAAUUAGAAAAUGGGUGAUGAGGAGUGGCUGCUGAGUGUUGAGGAUGUAUCUCGGGAUAAAUCAGGUUGGCUUGGUGCGUGCUGCACGCCUGAGCCCUGAACGGACCGGGAAGGUAGGCACGGCGGCGCGCCCGGGCAGCGGUGACGCUGUUGGGCGAGCGGCUCCUGGCCUCCUGUUAGUCCGGCGUCUCCUCCUAGAGUCAUGCCGUCCGGGGACGGCAAGUCGCCGGCGAGGCAGGCGGCUGGGGGCGAGUAGAGAUCGGAAGCGCGCAGUAGAACAGAGGGGAAUCGGGGCCUAGGACGACCCAAAAUCCCAGGGUGGGCCGGCCCACCGUGGGCACCCUGUAGAGAUACACACCCGAGCGGCGAACAUGCAUUUUCGAAACUAAUUUAGGAACAUUUAGCUGACCAAUUAAACAACUUUGUUUAGCUUGAUGGGUGGAGCAGUGUUAUUAUGACACGAAGCACGUAUUAUGAUCGUAUAGUGAUCAUAAAAGGGGGAAACUCUAAGCAUAUUUUUUUAGCAAAAGAGGGUUUCCCCUCCGAUUUCUAUUAAAGAAACCACCACGGAACCAACAUGAUCAAUUAAACCCUAAGCAUGAUCAAUUAAACCGUAUUAUGGCUGUGCCAUGGGAGAUUUGAAGCUGCAAACCGGAGAAAUGAUAUUUAGCAUCCAUUGUUUGCUUCGAACUAAGAACUAAAUUCUAAGAGCUGAAAAGAAAGUAGAGUAACCAAGUUAAGAUCUAUUUUCUGGUUGAGAUCAAAAAGUUGAGGAGAUAUGAAGUACCACCUCUCUUGCGGCGCAGUGUAGGCAUCGGGGGUGCGAUGGCUGUCGGUGGCGUUGAAGCAGAUCUGUGACGGUAGACGGGUGCAUCGGGGGAUAAGUCCCGUUGCGGUGGAAGAAAAGGUCGUGUGAGCGGCCCCGACAAAGAGGACGACGGCGCCGAUGAAGCGAGAGGACGCGAUGCAAAUCUAUUGGCCCGUCGCCGUGGAUGAGAAACGUCCAUCUCUAGCAGUGGACGACACGGUCUUGGUAGGCGCUCCGGCAUGGUGGAGGACGGUGGCGAUGGAUGUGGUGGAGGACGGCGGCGAUGGAUGGGGUGGCGGACGGAGGCUGGUGUGGGGAUGGGGUGUUCUAGCGCGGACGGUGUAUGAAUGGGAAAAUGGAGGUAAAGGUACAGGGAACCAUGUUUUUGGGACGCGCCUGUCUGAAAUAUGGGAAAGUUACGAACUUAGCCCCCGUUUAAAAUUUGGACGUCUCGUCGGUUGGGGAUAGGAUGGUAAUCUCGCAUCUCGCCAAUAUUUGCCCAGAGCGAUUUCGGGCGAGGAGAGGGUGGUUGGCGCCCAUGGUUGGCGCCCAUGGUGUAUGAACGGGGCUGACAGGUAGGGCGGUUGUGUCAUGUCUGAGUGAAGUUACAAACCUGCGCCUAUUGAAAAUAUUUGCCUACAUCGAUUUCGGCCGAGUCGAGUUUGUUUUCACUAGUAGAAAACAGGGCUUUGGUCACAGGGUAGUAUGCACAUUAGUCCCGGUUCAGUCACGAAUCGGGACUAAUGUGAGCAUUGGUCCCGGUUCGUGCGGCUAAGGCAUUAGUUCCGGUUCACCUGGGCCCUUUAGUCCCAGUUGGUGCCACGAACCGGGACUAAAGGGUGCGAUGCCCAUUAGUACCGGUUGGUGGCACCAACCGGGACUAAAGGUUAGACCUUUAGUCCCGGUUGGUGCCACCAACCGGUACUAAUGGGCUUUGAGGCAUUAGUACCGGUUCAUGGCACGAACCGGUACUAAAGGUCCCAUUUUCAAACUCUACCCCCCCCGUGGACCGCCUUUUCAGUUUUAGAAAAAACAAAAGAAAAUGAUAGAAAUGUCAAAAAAAUAAAAUAAAAUAAGUUUCCCAUGUGAUAUGUGGUCUAGUUGUUGGGAAAAUUUACAAAUAUGAAUUUCGACUUUAUUUGCAAAAUCUCUCUGGAAUUUGUAAAAUGGGCAUAACUUUUGCAGACGAACUCGGAUUAAAAAGUUUUUUAUAUGAAAACUCAUCUACUCGAAAAGUUACAUCCGAAUUUAACUGGGGGAACCCCGUUAAACAUUUUCAAAAUCCUCAAAAACCUAACAGAAAAAGUUACGGGGCUUUUAAGAUCUAGAGUGGAAAAAAUCGAAAAAAUUUCAAACUUAGUAGUGGCGCACCAUUUGCUAGGUGCAGCACUAGUAAUAGAAAAAAAAUAUAGUUUAAAAUUUUAUUUUGAAAAAAAUGUGGUCAAAUCUGGUCAAACUGUGGUCAAACAAUGGUCAAACUAAUUAUUCUGGAAUAUUAGUGUUACUAAAGAAGUAUUUCAGUUUUUUUGAAUUUUGGUCAAAUCUGGUCAAACUAUGGUCAAACUGUGGUCAAACAAUGGUCAAACUAAUUAUUCAAGAAAUAUUAGUGUUACUAAAUAAUUAUUGUUUUUUAAAACAAUAAUUUCAAACUCAAACAGUGAAAUGUGUCACUUCAUGCUCAAGCUAAAUUCCUGAGGGUUAAUAGGAUUGACAUCUUACUAUUGUCAGGAAAACAACAAGUGCAGACUUGGAAACGAGGGAGAACAGAACCCGGAAGUUAAGCGUGCUCAGGCUGGAGUAGUGAGAGGAUGGGUGACCGUCCGGGAAGUUAGAUGAUUUGGAAUAAUGAGGGGUGAUUAGAGAUUAGAGGAUAAAUUGAGCAGUGAUGAGGGGUGGUGAUUAGAGAUUAGAGGUUAAAAUAAUUCAGAAAUUUGAAAAUCAAAUUUUUUUUUCAAAAAAAUAAUCAUAAAAUUUCCUUUAGUCCCGGUUGGUGUUAGGUGGAGCUCCACGUGGCCGCGGCCUUUAGUCCCGGUUCGUGUAAGAACCGGGACUAAAGGGGGGAGGUAUUAGUAACGACCCUUUAGUCCCGGUUCAAAAACCGGGACUAAAGGGCCUUACUAACCGGGCCAAAAGCCCCUUUUUCUACUAGUGUUUGCCGCCCACCGUGUAUGAAUGGGGAAUGGAGGGAGAAACAAAGGUCUUUCGGACGAGCUGGAAUCAAAUGAGUUUUGCCGCCCAUGUUUGACGCCCACCGUGUCGGAAUGGGCCCAGAGGCGGUCGUGUCACGUGUAAUUGAAGUUACUAACCUACCCCUAUUUAGAGCAGUGGAAAUCGGGCCGAUGGAUUGUUCGUGUAAUGGGUAGACAGUAAUUUCCAUCUCCCAAACACUUGGCUUCGGGCAGCCGACGUGGGAGUGGACAUUUUGCUGCUUCUUUCGAAUUUUGGGACAAUAAGCAUCCACGUUUACCCUGGCAACUAAAUUCGAAUCCAUUUUGUAUUCCUAUAUGAAUCUUUAUAAAUCAUUCUAUGUGUUUUUAUAUAUCUUCAAAAGGACGACAAAGAUGUAUUCCACCGUCAUAUAUGAAUAUUGUUAACCAAUGCCGAUACUCAAAUUCAGAAACUAGAAUCCAGUUUAAGGUGAAUUCGAAUAUUUGGAACACUUCAUGUCCAACUCAAAUGUCACACGCAGCAUAAUGUGUACUCCCAUUUAAAUAUGUACACAAGCGAUGUAUCAAGAUUCAAAUACCAAGUCAAUCAACCAAGAAUGUACAGAACUAACAGACAUAUAAACACUUAUAGAGUAUAUGGAUCAAUAAUAUCAACUAACAUACAUAAGCCAGGCCGCUGUACUUUUUUGUGGCUACAACAGCAUCCUUUUUUAAGCCAGCAUCUUGGCCCUUUCCGAUGCGUGCCACUUAUGGUCCAUCUAUACUACUACUAUUGCUAAAUGCACAUUCAGCCCGAUUGGCAUAUUUGUAGGUCUGGCACAGCAAUCCAAAUGAAAUGUCUCCGAGUCUUAUCAAUUAAUACAGACUUGUGCUCAAAUAAAAUUACAAACCAAAAAACGAAAAAAAACAAUUAUUACAUGAUCUCUAAAACAAAUGGUUUGAUUGAUUACAUGAACAGACAACACAAAGGUUAUUCAACUAUGGAAAGAACAUUUCACCUAUGAUUUACCAAGUAGGAAUUUAAUUUCCUUUUUUCCUUCAGGACCUUAACAAUCUGGUCAGUCUCAGCUUGCUUCGUUUUGAAAUCCACGAAAUAUGUAAUGAUUGUCUUGAGUACUGCUUGUGAUUGUGCUGUUUGCUUCCUCAACAUGUCAACUUCAUCUCUAAGUGCAGAAGCAGAAUCUCUUUCUACCACUAGUUUAGCCUCUAGAGCAUCAGCAGUUGGCAAUUCAUAAUGCACGAUUGGGCCGGUGCCACUGCUGUGGGAUGAUGCAACGUCCAUGGGGACCUUGCUCUUUGAUCUUGGGCUAACCUGUUUUGCCAUUAAAGUUCCGACUGGAUUCAGAAAAGUUGAAGUUAGCAAAACAUCCCAACUGGGAGUUAUAACAGCAAACCAGUUAAACAAACAAGGAAUUAAAGGGUUUUAAUUGGAUGCUGAAAAGUAGUUAUUAACAUCAUUGUAACCCGCUGUUGCAGCAGCAAAUCAGUUAAACAAACAAGUAGAUAUUUAAGUUAAGGCAAACAGGUAAUUCUUAACAGUAAGUAUCAAACACAUAGAUAGGCGCAAUCUACAAUAUGAUUAACAGGCUGUGCCAUUAUGUAAUCAGUAGCAAACUAAAUUAAGCCAAGCAACGUAAUUGAACAAUUUUGCAAUAAGUGGCUAACUAAAAUUCCGAGAAGCAGGUAACUGAACUUAUGCUAGUUCUUUGUACAGGCACACUGCAACUUCUUUUUCGCUUACAAGGUUGUACGAAGGAGUCCAUGGCAUCAAUUGCUUGGAUACGCAGUCCCAAUACUUCUUUCUUCCCACACUGCAUGGGUAAGUCGAAUGGUUAAUCUGGUAAGAUGGUGCGUCCUUGAUAUGUUAUAUGAGGAUGUGUAGUCAGACUAGUUGUAGCCAAACACAUCACACUGGCUUUUACUGUAUAUUUCAUGCGAUUACUUUUGGCAUAUCGAGAUCUAAGCAAUCUACAAUAGGAUGAAAAGACUGGCAUCCUUCACAUUAUUGGCGAACUCAGUUCAUAGAAACAAGCAAUUCAACCAUUCUGUGGGUAAAUCAAAAGCGCCACUGGAAUAUUUUUCACUAUCCAAUCAUACACGCAAAAAGGGGCGACGCCACCAUAGGGGCUGGUAUGGGCGGCCGCCUCAGGUGGCUGGAAAGUGUGCACCUAGUUUGAGUCGUCCAGGUUGGCCCAUGCUAGUUUUGUUCGUCCCAACGCACGAGCAGGCAAUGUAAAAAAUGAAGAAAAAUGUUUCAAUUUGGAUGGGCCAAUAACAUAAGUGCAAGACAUGCCCUAUAGCAGGCUCGCGGCCCAAACGAGCGCCUCCCAUAUCGAUCGACAGCAGGAAAAAUCCCAAUUCAUUCGCUCCAGCCUCCAGUCUGGUUCGCUCCUAACCUAGCUGCCGCUGGACAGACCGACACAGCACUCACUCGCGCCCUCGUUGGAGGGCGGUCGCCGGGCUUCAAGCGAACGGAAGGACAAGAAGAUGAAGAUCCAACCCUGGGUGUAGCCUGCGUGGGAGGCAGCGGCGGCAGCACGGGCAUGGCAUCGAGCUUGCGCAAACGAACAGUCGCAGCUUGCAAGAGUAGCAUGAGCAACGAGCAGGUACAUCACAUCCCUGAUUAUAUCUAAUUCAACUCUUCAAUUUCUGGCCAAUAGUUAAACCUGACGGUGUCGUAAAACUGCUUGUAUGUAGGGAAUCUAUGAGAAAAUGAAACCAAUUUCUACUUAUUUUAUAACUCCCCCAAUCAAUACUGAACUGACUGAAUCUGAUGUAUCUAAUCAAGUUUCCGGUGCAAACAUACAAGCUCAUGUUGUUCUUGAGCCUGAAGUGUCUAAUGAACAGACUGCUAAUGAAGGAUUUGAUGCAAACAUUUUACAUGCUCCUGGUGAUGAACAUAUAGUGUCUAAUGAGGGAUCUAAUGCAAGCAUUUUGCAAGCUCAUUGAAGGAUUUAGUGUCUAAUGAUGAUCUACUAUGUUGGGAGAGACAGAGAUUUGCAGGCAUUGAUGACAAGCAAAUUAUAGUGAAUUUUCAUAGCUUGAGGAAACGUCGAGGCCAUCUACCAGAAAGUCCCCGUAUCAUGACAACAUAGCAUAAAUACUUUUCUAAUCUGUUGUUUGAAACUAUUGGCAUACUUGUGCAGGAUAGAUAUAUUGAUAUGCAGUUUGCGCACUGGUUAUACGUGCAAUUACACUUCGAUAUUUUCAGCCAGAGAACGAAUAAUUCAAGCAGGUACAGACCAUGUUUGUAGCCCUUGUACACCAUAUUGCAUUUUGUGUUUUUUGGUGCUUGCAUCAUUUAGUGUUUAUAAUCUGAACUACUUUGGAUCAUUAGCUGGUUUUCAAAGUGCAUGUAGCUUCACAUUUCUCAAGUUAUGUUGAUUUCGGGAGUGCAAGUGCCUUCGUAUUUUUUAAGUUAAAUGUUCGCCCCUGGUAACUUGAAUUCGUGGAUCAGCCACUGCACACAAAUCAUACAUGAAUGCCAGUACGAAUUAAAUGAAAUGCAGGGACUUACACUAGCUCGUUGUACAUGCUAACUGUAGCUCUGCUUGCGCUUGGGAUGUUCCAUGUAUAAGUCCAUGUUACCACUUGCUUGGAUGUGCAGGCCUUGUGCUCCUUGCAUCCCCCUCUGCAUUUUUGACACGGCGAAUGGUUGAUCAAAUAAGAGGAAUCGACCUUGAUGUUGUACCGGAGGACAGAUACUUACAAGGUUAUACGGGUGUGCAGGAUGUGUACCAGAUCCCGUAGCGCCGUCAUGCUUCGCUAAAAAAUGGAUUUGCCUAUUUCAGAUGAUAUCUCCAGAAGAAAUAAUAGUUAAAGUCAGAGUUGCAUAGGUGUGUAAGCUAAGAGAGCAGUGAAAGGAUAUCCAAACAUCAUCGGAAUAGUGCACAAGGGAGUGAUGUGUGGAUACCUAGUUCGGGCCGGCGUUUGGGCAUGCUCGCCUAGCUAGAGUGCGGGUCACUUCAGAGCCGUUGAGGGUGAUGCGCUGGCUGGCCGCGCACGGAUGCAGAUCUUGAGUGGCAGCAGAGCGCUACAAUGCGGUGGACGAGACCGUUGGUGAAGCCCCAACGGCCUCGGGGGGCGGAGGUGCGACGAUGUGCUCGGUGAAGUAGCCCCGGUGAGCUAGGAGACGGCGUCGGUGAAGCGCACCUGAUGUGGUGGAACUCGGUGUCUGUGAGGCACGUCGGUUGCGGCGGCCGACGUUGUCGGCGAACCACCCGGUGCGGUGGACGAGGGCGUAGAUGAGGUAGCUCCGGUGCGGUGGUGAAGCGCGACCGUCGUCUUCGUCGUCGUCGUCGUCCGGCACAGAGGUGGGGAACGGUGGGGAAAGAGACGAGACGAGGGGCGAUUCGAGGGUUGGCGGCAAAUUAGGGAUUUGAGCAAUCUGGGCGCGGAAGGGGACGGUGGAGAAGAGAGAUUUUGCAGGGCUGGAAUUGAGGCCGCCAGAUAUUUCAAUCCGAAACGUGGAAGCGCGAACUUAUAUUGUCGUCGUCCUAUUUUUUUGGCGGGGGGGAGGGGGGUGGGUGGCUGGGUGCUACGCGUCCGUCCGACACACGCGACCACCCCGACAGAACUAUGCUUCGGUGGCUUAAGACACCUGCCUUUGUGUCCAUGACAUGUGGGCCCAACAGGUGGCUGGCCCACAUGUUAGUGACCCAAAGGCAGUUGCCUUUAAGGCACCGAAGCAGCGUCCACCCCGACACGACCCUGGUCUGCCUGGUGCGCCUACAUUUGAGAAUGCAAACGAAUCUUCUUUCAUUUGCAAACGAAUCUGUAUGUAUUACCAUGCCCGUGUUUUCCUUGCAAUAAUUAGUCAUUCGAAACGAGAUACUCCAUCCGUUCACUUUUGUAAGUCGUUUCAGACAACUUAAAAUGAACUGUUUUGCACAUUGUCCGAAAUAUCUUCAAGGUCUUAUAAAAGUGAACAGAGGGAGUACUAUAAAUUAAUUAAUGAGGAGUUAUUUGAAAAAAAAUCGAAACGGUACCCACGCUAAUGUGGAUUAGAGUGUGUGUCACAUAAUUAGUUAUUUGAAUUAGAGUGUGUGUCACGUAGUUAGUUAUUUGAAUUAGAGUGUGUGUCACGUAGCGAUCUCCAAUUCUAACGUGGAUUUCGCAUUCCACUGUAUCCACGCUACUUUUUAAUACAAAUUUAUAUGUAUAUGAUGAACACCAUGGUAGUGAGAAAACUUUUGGAUGGAUUCAAACAUAUGACCUACAAAAUAGCACAACAAACUGAGUCAAUGUCAACUUUUCGAAACUUAGUAUGGCAUGAAUUCGAAAUAAUUACCCGUAUGCCUGGUCCUCGGUUCAAAUCUUACAAUGUACACCGAAUUGAAACAUCGAUAUUAAGUCUCGUACUAUGUACAUUCAGAUGUUGUUUUUAGCCCCCCCCCCGCACAAACGCUACAUACUUCCUGUAUCAGUCAAUCUUCCUCUCCUAACCACCUUAGGAAGCUAUCGGUUUCCAACACACAUUCAUUCUUUCUCUCCAUGUUUCGAUCUCUAAGUCUCUCAACUACACAACCCCUUUUUCCACUCUGUUACAAAUGUAUUUACCUCACACACCCGCCAUUGCACCCCAUGCUGAGCUCUCUCUCUCCCCUCUCCCUCUCACCCUCUCGCGCUAAAUACAUGCAUUGCCUAUCUAGCCCCCCAACCUCUCGUGCGCACGCACGCACGUUGUAUAUCUAGGUCACUCCCUCGAGACUGUCUCACUCUUUCUUCUGCACGGCGGGCCACACUCGCUCAAUCUCGCACUCUUUAUUUGAGUCUCGUUUCACCUCGUUUUCUUUCACACACAAAUGACAUAUCUCCCUGUUCGGGCCUCGAUCGACACACUCUAUACUCUCUCACACGGAUUGUCUAUCUAGGUCAGUCCAUCCAAGCCGCCGCCACUCUUUCGACCUCAUGGUGGGCCACGCUCACUCAAUCUCUAUCUCUCUCUCUCUCUCUCUCUCUCUCUCUCUCUCUCCGUAUGUCUCGAUUGACCUCGCUCUUUGUCGAACAAAAACGAUAUAUCACCAUGUUUGAGCCCAAUUCGACCUAUUCACAUUGUAUACUCUCUCACGCACAUCGUAUAUCUAGGUCACUCUCUCCAACCCGUCUCACUCUUUCGAUCGCACGGCGACCCUAUGUGAUCGGUUGACCUUGCUUCCUCCCACGCACAAAAUAUAUCUACAUGUCUGUGACUGGAUCAUCUCUCAAGCUCUAUCUUACAGCCCUCACCCUUGCCAAAAAGCUCAAUCGAACAAUAUCUCUCCAGAGCAUAUAUAUUUGUUCAAUGAAUGUCGGACCACACUCACUUUGUCUCUCUAUCUAUAUGUCUCUCGAUUGACCUCGCUUUCUCACACCGUAUCUUCCACGCGUUGAAGCUACUAACUCUCCAUCCCUCGCAAAGCCGGAGCUAUUUACAUUGCGAGGGGCACUCCAACCUUGGAUUAAUUUGUGUAGGCAUUUAUUCCGGUCGGUUUAGAUUAUAUUUUCGUAGCAUUCGGCCCACAACUACUCCAAACACCGUUGCAACCCACACAACUCCCCUAGUUGAUUUCCCUCUGGCUCGGUCAUCGCUCUCUCGCACGUCCUUUCUCACCUUCAACGUCGCACCAUGGUAUUAUUGAAAAAACUAUGUUGUUCUCUUUAAUUAUUAUAAAUAAGGUACAAAACUACACACCGAUAGUUCACUUGGAAUGGAACAAAUUUCGACCCACAAAUUAAAGUGCUACAAACUACACACCGAGGGGCCCACAUGUCAUGAAACAAAUUUGGACCCAUAUACAAAUUAAAAAAUAAAGGACGAGGAUCGAACAUGCGACCGGGCCUUCAAGCCGCACGUCAAUAGGCAACAUACGUAGAAUAGCAAUGUUUGUUGUACCCCCUUUGUUCACAUAAUGUUUUUAUAUUACCACAGCCUAAUUAAUGGAUAACAUGUUAUAUUAUUUUUAGUACUAUUCACCUUCACUUACUGGUGGGUUCCAUGUGUGCUCUCUGUCUCUCCUCCCCUUCUGCGUUUAGACGCACGGGCAAACAGGAAGAACUCGCGGGCGAUGUUGCCGUUGACCAUAUCUGGACGCGUUCACAAGUCACGACACCAGUUUCACUUACUAGCAGCACUAGUCAGUGUGUACGUGCAAUGCACGUUAAUUUGGAAGUAUAUUAAGUGCAUGCGGAUAUUAACUACUAGGAUAUUAUUUGCGUGUUGUCAUGUGAUUAGCACUAUUUUUGGCAUGAAAUUAACUGCACGCUAAACGUGUUGAGCGCUCGACAUUGAAGUAGUCUAGUUCAUUGGAUGACAAGGUAUACAUGUGGCUUGAUGACGUUUUAUAUUUAAUUUGAUACGGCUCUAGCAAAACAUUCAAUCGAUCAAACCAUACAUUUCGUUCAGUCUGACUCCGACUUUAAAUUAUACGACGAUCGAUAUAAAAUAAACGGAAAUGAUAAACUUUUGGAUUUUAAGCAUGGCAAUCCGAAUGUUUUUCAUGGCAAACUUAGAUUACGCGGCGGCGGCGGGGGCGUCUCGCGGUUGGAAGCGGCUCCUCUGCCGUGCUCUGUGUGUCGUCGGACCACUGACCGACGGCGACGGCGGCGUCUUGCGCCGUUGUUGGCGUACUCCUGGACGUUGGCCUAGCUUGAAGGAAGGCCAAAAUGGUCUGGACUUCGGAGCGAGUCAACUGGCGGGAGGAGGCGACUGGCGUUGGUGCAAGGAAGCGGUCGGCGGCAGCCAUCCAUGCCGCCGAGGGGGGCACUGGCACCCGCGCGGGGACAGGCACUGUCAACGGCGCGGCGAAGACAUUCGUGUGCACGGCACAGGCACGGGCGCGCACGUCAGUGCACGCGCAGGCGCAUACGCUGGCAGGUGCAUGGGCACCGGCACGGGCGUGCGCGUCAGUGCACGCGCAGGCGCAUGCGCUGGCAGGUGCACGGGCGCGUGAAAGUCGGCGGGGACCUCGUGGAACCCCGUGGGAUCAAGCUCGGCGACAAUGUGUGGCUCCCUGCCCAUCAAUGCCACGGGGAUGGGCGUUGGCACAGUCGAGGCGACGGGAGCCAGAACGGGAGUGGGGACAGGCGCGGCGUCUUCCCGCAAGGCCAGUUCAAGCUCGUCCCAAAGCGCCUUAUGUUCUUGAGACUCCGGCUGGGUGUCUUCCUCAGGAAACUGGAACACUAAGGGCAGACCAUCAUGAUGCGGCAUGGCGUACUUUUAGGUCAGGCUAGUUGGAGGUAGACGACAGGAGAAUCGGAGAGGAAGAGAGAGGAUUGUAGCGAUACCGGGUAGUGCGGGGUAGAUUUUAAACUGCGGCACCGACGACAUUAAAAGUGGGAGCAGUUGGGACGACGGUGGGCGGCGGAGCCUGGUAAAAGGGCUCGCCUCCCGGUGAGCCUGCACAGCGUUCUGCUCGCACGCCUCCCUGACAGCCGGCGCAGCGGUCUGCUCGCACGCCUCCCGUCGACUCACACGCUUGCUCGGACGGCACCUGCCGAUGAGAAGCGGGGACUCGUGGUGGCACGUAAACGCCCACGGUUUCAAUAGUGAAAGCGUUCGCCUUAACGUGACAGGUCUUCGUUCCAAAAUACCUUGGCUCUUCAUUUGUGCAACUUGUCAUAAGCAGCUUGUCUCAAAUUGAAGAAAAAACUUACGAAGUAAUAUUUGUGCCAUAUCACGUGACCAUGCUUAGUUUCAAGAAUUUAUGCUCACUUUUGGAUUUUUUGAAAUUUAAGAUCCAGGAUUCGAAACAAUAUCGUAACCUGCAUCAUGCAAUAAAUUUUCAAGCCGUACAUCUGUCCUGUUGUAUUUCUUAAGAAAGGAUUUGGUCAAACAUUUUGCUUAGUUAGACUUCAGACAAGUUAUAUAUGCAGAGUAAAAGGAUAAUCCCUCCGUACCAGUGCAUUGCCUGAUAUAUUAACUCAAGUACUAGGCACGAACAAACGGGCUCAAUUCUGUGCUCAUCCUGGUGUAGUAGUAGUAGUAGUAGUACUAGGCAAUGCAGUUGACGAGUGACCUUGACGAGCGGCGACCGAGGGAAUUGAACCGUGCUCGGCACGGUAGGUAACGUUGUCUAGUUACUAAAGCAUCCCUCCGUUGUUCAUCGGUAGUCAUUAUGGACCGGGGACAUGAGGGGAAUUUCCUAGGGCUGGAAUUCUGGCCGCCAGAUAUUUCGACUUGAAACGCUGAGGCUCGACUGGUUGGGGUUGCCUAAUGUGCGUACCACGCACGCCACCGAAGGACACGAGCCCGGUAUUUUUUUAGGAUCAACACGAGCCAAUGUCUGGCUGGUACGCCGUUGGGUCCUACCAUUCGAGAAUACGAAAUGAACCUUUUAAAUUGCCGAACGAAUCUAUGUGUAUUACAAUACCCGUAUUUUCCUUGCAAAUACUAAUCUCAACGUGGUAAUUGAUUUAUGACGAGUUGUUGAAUUAGAGUGAGCUUUUGAUAUAGUGAUCUCAACGUGGAUUUCACAUUUCAUGGUAUCCCUAGUAAGUUUUCCAAUGCAAAUUCAAAUUUAAAAGAUGAACAAUAUGGAGGUGAGAAAACUUUGUAUGUAUCAAGCAUAUGACCACACACACACACAGAGAGACACACACGCACGAACACAACAACAAUCCAAUAAGUAUAGUGCAUCUAUUUUUCCAAACCAUGCAUGUAUGACACGAAUUCAAAAAUACUCCUUCUAUUCCUAAAUAUUAGUCUUUUAGAGAGUUCAACAAGUUACUACAUACGGAGCAAAAUGAGUGAAUCUAGACUCUAAAAUAUGUCUAUAUACAUCCGUAUGUGCCAGUCCAUUUGAAGCCUCUAAAAAGACUAAUAUUUAGGAACGAAGGGAGUAAAAUGUAAGACAUCCAUGGUCCUCAGUUCAAUAUUUAAAAUGAACAUGAAACUGAAACAUGAAUAUUAAGUCUAGUACUACAGUACAUGCAAAUGUUGUGUUUAGGCGGAGCUAUGAUUGUCGGGGGUCAACCCCUCGACCUUAGAUAAAAUUGUGGAGCUCUAUUUAGGGUUGUUUAGAUUAUAUUUGUCCCCACCCUCCCAACCAGCGAUUGGUUGUGCACCCCCCACCCCUCCUCCCCGGGAGAAUAUCAUGUGCCCCCAUACCUUAGAUGCUAUAUGCCGAUACGAGUUGCUUGGAGCUUGUAGAUCUGAGAUAUAGUAGCUCACAUGAUGUGUCUUAAUAUUUUUGCAGGAAACCUUGAUGAGUUUGAGAAUUGCACACAAUUUGUACAAAAACUACUUAGAUGCCCUUUGAUCCCAUAUCCAACGACCUCGAAGCUCGUAUCACCGUAGCAUCUAAGAUGAAGGAGGACAUCAUAUUCUCCUGUAUGUAAGAUUAUCAUGUGCUACCACACCUUAGAUGCUUUGGUGAUACAAGCUCUUCAGAGGCGUUGGAUUUGUGACCCAACACCUCCUCGGUGGUUUGAAUGGUUUUUUGCAGAAAAGCCCCCAAAGAGUUCGGCCACUGCUUACAAGCACAAAGACUGCUCAGAUGCCAUUGGAUCUCAGAUCAAACGACCUCCAAGCUCGUAUCACCGUAGCAUCCAAGCUGCGAUAGCACCUUAUGUUUUCUCGCACGGGAGAGUAUGAGGUGCUCCCGCACCAUAGAUUCUAUGGUGAUACGAGUUCACUGAGAUCUAACGGCCCACAGUAGGAGGUUUGAAUGUUUUUGCAAUAUACGACUGAUAGAGUUUGGGAAAUGCGCAGAAAGUACAAGUACUACGCAUGUGCUAUCUGAUCACUGAUCAUACGACCUAGAUGCUCAUAUCACCGUAGCGGGUAAUUAAGCUACGCUGAGCACCUAAUAUGAGCACCGGGGAGCCGUUGGAUCGAAGAUGCAGCGGCAGACAUGAGGCCUGAAUGUUUUAUUUGCAAAAAAAACCUUUGGACAGUUUGGAAAUUGUGCAUAAUUACAAAGACUACUCCCAAGCCAUUGGAUCUCACUUCCAACGGUGUAAAAACUUGUAUCACCAUAGUAUCUAAGCUGCGGGGUGGAUGUGAUAUUCUAUGCCGCUGUCAUUUUUGUUCGUAAACUUGCAAAAUACGUGUAACUCGUGUGGUUACUUGUCUAACCGCGCAAAGUGUUUGUUCAAAAAAACCAUCCUACACUAAAAUAUCGGAACAACACACGGGGGUCCCACUUGUCACUAAUCAAAUUUGGACCUAAAACUAACAAAUCUGAAAGACGAGAUUCGAACUGGCAACCUGGACUACAAAGCGUAAGUCGAUAGCCUGAAAAAACAAACGGUUUUUGGCUUUGUCCCAUAACUUGAUUUUAUACAGUACUUGCAUUGAGUAGAGUAGAGGGAGUGCCUCGUCAACACGUGCAAGACCGUUGUCUCACUUACUGGUGGGUCCCAGGUCUGCGAUCUCAAUCUCUCUUCUCUCCAUCGUCUAACCUUUGCACGGGCACACAUGAAGAGCGGCGCUAGCUUGCCGUGGUGUUAUUACAACUAAAAAAAAGCUUGGAAAAUAGAAGAAUCGCCUAGAACAAGAGACGUUGUGGCUAGUCGAGACGGAGCUAACCACAUCUAUCCUCCGUGCCACGUUUGCAUGAUGAAGCUGUGUGGCUAGUGGGGUGUUUUUGACCGACUGGCUGGGUCCCAAGGUCGAACCAUAGGUACUACGUCUGAUACAGUAUAUUUUUACACGCACAUUUUCCUCCGUGCCGAGACGUGGCACACCCUACCGCGCGGUUUCGGGGUCCUCCCGGGUGGUGCACGCAUAUAUUCUUCCUGACGUGGGACGCCCUACCGCGCGUUUUCUAGGUCCUCCUCGGUCGUAGCGCCGAAGCAAGUAAAUGAGUCGUCAAAUCACGAAAGACCACCUUUCCCGCUGAGUACAUCAGUGAAGCACGGUGGCUAGCUAGUUGGGCUAGUUCGACCGAUUAGCUAGGCCGCCGCCACAUUUAUUUUUUCACCCCUUUUUUUAUCUACUUGCCGGCAGGUAAAUUUAAAUAUCCACCGCGGCGUUGCUCUCGUGUUUGGGUGCGGCAGCAUUUUUAAUUUUUUGAUUGACGGGAGCAGGCGCGGUAGGAUUUUUAAUUUUUUGAUUGAAGAGAGCAGGCGCGGCAGCAAUUAGUCACGAUGACUCCGCCUGUAAAAACCCACUGCUCCCUGAUGUGAGAAGUCGUCGACUAGUGUUUUACCGUGGUGAAAACCAAAAGAUUCCCUGCUCCCUCCGCCUUCCCGUAGAUUGCAUUGCCUUUCAGCCGUUUCGCCCCCUUUGCUUCCUCUCCCCAUUGCUUCUACCUGGUGCCAUGGCGGCGCAGCAGAUCACGGAGUCCGAGGUGAGGCGCCUGACACAGGAGCUCCAUGCCAAGGAUGCGGAGCUUAGGGCCAAGGACGUGGAGCUCCGUGAGCUCAAGGAGGAGAGGAGUGCCAUGCUCCUCCGUUAUGUGCGGGAGUUCACGGAGCUUCAAAAGCGGCAGGCGUCCACCACAAAGAUGCUCGAGGCAUCGGCGGCGUUGCUGCAGAAAGCGGGAGAUACGAUAGGCCGUCAGGGGAGCCGGCUGGAGCGCGAGCGGGCCGAUCGUGACGAGGUCCAGGAUCGCCUCAGCCACUUGGUGAACCAAGUUGCCACGCACGUGUUGCGGCUGCGCGAUGCCUACCGUUGUGCCAGCGCGACGAUGCCGGCCUUCGGGCUAAACCCGUUCGACCACCCGGUCGACUUCAACGAGCUGCGGCUUCCUGACCUGGUCUCCUUCUUCACCUAUAUCUCCGAGGAGCUGAGCCGUCUCCGCGCGAUGUUGGGGGCUGAGCUGGACAAGGAGGGGUUGCGGGCUGCCGUCACAGUUGCCGGGCGAAUCCUUUCAGGGCUCCGUCACCGGAAUCCAUUCGUGCCAUUGGACGCCGUCUUUGACGAGCUGGCUCCUGUCGACCGGGAGCGGGCCCUGCGGGCGGUUGCACCCUGCAUCACCAACGUCAUGCGCCUCGAGAAGCAGAGGGACUUCGGUAGUGUUUAGGCAUCCUCUGCAUGGGCAUGUCCAUGUCUCGGCGCAACAUGACCGUUGGAUCAAACUCAGACGGUGCAGAUCAAUCACUGUAGCACAAAGCGUGUGGGUGUGUUUGGUUGCAUUCUCAUCUCAAUAUAGUUGUUUCCUCUUCGUGUAUUUUUGUCAACCUACUAGUGUGGACUCAUGCACCCUUCAUGCACUCUGCCAAACACCCAAAAGUGGGUCGAGAAGGGAACUUUUGCUCCCAUCCCGUGCACCCUUCAUACACUCUGCCUAACACUAUUCGUGCUUCAUAUGGUUCAUGUUUCGUGGAGUACUGUAGCACCGUACUCUCCGUGCGCUGUGGACCUAGUUCUGUUAACAUUGAUCUCACCGUUCAUUCUCGACCGGACAGUCGAAAAAGCGGUACUAUGUUACAUAUAGGAGUAGUUGACAUGCGCACAACAUCAUUUGUUAUCGUCAUAUCUUACUACACUAGCAACAAGAUUGUGUAGUACUGACGUAUGAACCACUGCACAUGCCUAGUAGUAGGAGCACUGUGUAUGUUCAAGUGGCUGCCGUGUUUUGCACUCCUCCGUCGUAAGAGUGGAAACACUUGCUGUAAUCAUUUUUUCCUUCAGAAAAACAGUGGACACGCUCUACCGUGCGGAUCCUCCUCCAGCCAUGCACUAAAUUACUCACUUUCGCCGACGUGUGGGACAACCAGCACCUGGGUCCACCAACCAUGCACUAAAUUACUCCGUAGUAGAGUGACGGUAGACUACCCCGAUCGAACCGCCGCAGUAAUGCCCAAUGAGCCGUCAAAUCACAAAACCCCCGCCUUUCCAGCAGUAAGUUGGACGGACGAAGCAACCAUCAUUUCACUCUUCUCUCUCAGCUUCCUCUCUUGAAGAAAACCCCCACUCGCUUCGCUUCUCCCUCAUCUUGUUCCUCCUUUCACUCUUCUCUCUCAGCUUCCUCUCUUGGAUGGACGCCGGAGCAUCGGCCGACGUGAUGUCUAUGGCUCUGGCCAUAACCGUCGAGGCUCAUGGUACGAAGAAGCACAAGCACCCCGCCGAGACUACCGCAGACAAGCUCGAAGCCAUCGCCCUGUCCAAGCCCCCCUCUCCGGGAUCCCUCAUUAAGCAAGUCCAGGUAAUGUCUCUUGUUGACGAUCUUUUUCUCGAUCUUGAUCGUGUUUUUUCAUCUAACACGCAGUACUAGUACUGGUAGUACAACUUUCUGGGUGAUCUUGCAUGUGAUUUUAGUGUGCCAAAUGACGGUCCUAAAUUCCUCUUUUGACGAAAACAUGCGAGAGGUUGACACUGAUUUCUUAUAGAUUACUUUCAACUACUCCCUCUGUCCCAAAUUUCUUGUCUUAGAUUUGUCUAGAUACGGAUGUAUCUAAUACUAAAAUGUGAGUUGAUACAUCCGUAUCUAGACAAAUCUAAGACAAGAAUUUUGGGACGGAGGGAGUACUUUAUGAACAUCAAUGCUACCUUUUAAGAGGGUAUAUUUGCCUCAGUAACUUGUGUUAUGGAUAUUGCAUGUAAUCCCUCUGCUCUCAUGCCUUUGAAGACAUGUUCUAGGUCUUUGUUCACUCAUUUCUGUGCGUAUAUGUAGUCAUAUAUGGAGUAUAAUAUCGAAAAUCAUCUUAUAUUUCUGAACGGAGGUAGUAAUAAUAUAUGGUUUCUGUUUGAAUUAGAACCAGGUCCGCGGUGGAGAUGAAGUUCUCAAAGUCAUGCCGUGUGAGCUGGAAGACCUGAUGAUGAGUUCUACUGCUAAACUAUCCAGCUGCCAUGUCCUUGUCGCCACGUGUCCUGAACUAGUGUUUUCCUGUAGCAUUGUUGUCAGGCGUGUUCUCGAGGAUGUACUUGACCACAACAAUUUCCUGGUUGUGCCUUCGAUUACGAAGGAUGUGGUUCUUGUAAAGCUUCCCAACAAAUCUGAUGCGGCCUGUCUUCAUCAUCAUGUUUAUGAGUGGAAAGACCACUCUGUUAGGUUCUCCAAGGUUGACAAGAUGGUGAUGGUGCAUGUAGCCAUCUCACACGAAGUCCAUGGCCUAGUCAGUUAUCCGGGGUUCAUCCCGUAGGUCGGUGGCAAGAAAUAGUCUGCAGAGUUUAGUUAGUGCAACUUUGCUUGUCUGUAGUAAGUACUAUUGUUCAAUACUUGAUUUGUGUUUGUGAACCCUGUAUUGUUUAUUAGUACUGCCGCUUUUGGUGUGUGAACGGUCUAUGUUAAUGUCUAUGUUACUGUAUGUCCACUCAAUUCGGUCUGUAUAUUUUGAAGAAUCCAGAUCAUAUUUUUUGUGAGGACGGUUUAUCAAUUAUGGUUGCACUCCAAUAUCUGUAUGCAUUGCAGGGUUUAUCGCACCCACCAGGAUUUCCAGUCCCAUGGAUGUUCGGUCCAUACGAUUUGUCAUGACCUUUGGACUGUCCUGUUUGUGGGAGUAGGCGGGGCCCCUGCAUGCCACGCGUAGUUGGACGAUCAAUCUUCUGUUUAGUACUUCAACAUAGUGAUUUCCUGGUAAGGAUUCACUCAUGUCACAUCAAGUAAAUCUUAUUGAUUUACUGUCUAAAUCUUAUUGAUUUAAUGUCAUGUUUUCUUUCUUUUCCUGCAAUUUUACGAUGCAGGUUUUGCCAUGUGACAUUCAUCACAGAAUAAACCGUUUGGUUUGCUCUACGAUGGCUAUUUUUGCAGGUUUCACUUCUUAUGUCAUGUUAAUGAAAGCACUGUCCAUCACUUAUAUUACUGGAAAAAAUUGGACCAGUCUGUUGUCUGAGUACAAGCUGAAUCCCUAUGAUGAACUGCAGUUUGGUUUAACAAAAACGCCACAAUUAGUCCUUCUCGCGUUUAAAAGAAAUGAAGAAAAAAACUGGAUCACGGUCACGGAUCCUAGUCAAGUUAGAAAGCUGAUCAUAGCAGACCAGACACGAUCGCCGCUGUCUCGCACAGAUCGAGCACCGGCAGUUGCUCUAGCACUGACAGCGGCAACAGCUCAGUCUGAUCCAGCUGAGGAUUGGGCACCGACCGCGUCAGCGGAUCAGUCUGAUCUACCGGAGGAUCGGGCAUCGACACCGGCACCUGCUCCGACACCAGCACCAGCUCUACAAGGAGCACCAUCUCCGGCAGCAGCGGCGGCUUCGGCACCUGCACCAACACUUGCACUUGCAUCUGCUCCCGCCCAUGCAGUUGCACCGGCAACAGACUGGGCUGCAGUUCGCACUUCAUAUACCAAAGUCCUUACAAAAACCGACAUGUCCACCUUCUUGGUAAGCAUUGGCCGCCCAAGUGCUUCGUUCUUUUUUCUUUCCAUGUUGUUUCACAUGAUUCACUGUGUUGAUCUAACUGUUUGGGUAUGUCUUCUUGUUUGCAAACAGAGAAUUCCUAGAGCAACGAGAGAGUCGUUCAACAAUCCGGGCGACCGUGGCCAAGUUUCUCUUACCAUGCGCAGCCUUGGUGUGACUGAACCUGCUCAAUAUACCGUAAGUACAAAUGAUGGUCGCAUGAUGAUUAAUGCUAAAGGAUGGUCAAGGUUCAAAUCUAUAUCAUAUCUUGUGGUAGGGGAUGAUGUCAAAAUCGAACUUUCUCGGCAAGGAGAGCUGGUCCAAAUCAACUUUGAAAUUCUUCAGUAGCAGCAUGCAACUGCCGAACUGAUCUAUCCUCCAAGAGAUUUUGAUGUAAUAAUCUGGCAUGGUGAAACAAGUGUCCUGUGUGUAUAAGUAGUACGACAGUAUUAUUUAUCACAUGGUAUAUCGUUGAUAGAAUUGCAACUCUGAUUGCUGGUUAGGAACUGUCGUUCGAUUUCAUUCCAACAGCUGCUGUGCUUUAUUCAAUUUUGUGUAUUCGCCUUGCGACAGCAUCUAAAACCAGCGCCGUACCGAUCGCUUGCAAUAUGAAAAGCGCUGAGGUAGAACACAUGGGCCCCAAAACAUGCAGGGUUGGCCUGCGGCCCAAAGUCCAGAACCAUGAGCCUAUCUGAGUAUUAUAUUCUCAGCUGAACCCCCAUAAAAAAAGCUGAACCCCCAUAAUGCCCUUGCGUUGCAGAGGGAGUAUAUUUCUCGGCAAGGUGAGCCUGUGAUAUAAAAGAUUUGUAUAUUUCUUUACAGAGGGAGUAUCUCUCUGUCAAAAAAUAUAUUUAUGUGUAACUAGUUACUCUUGUCUUUCUACUUCCUUUCGCUGAUAUGUGGGGCAACCGGCAACGGGGUACACAUGCCAUAUGCACAAAUUAGAGUGCACAACUUCACGGUAGACACACCCCGGUCGUAGCGCCGCAGUAAUGCCCAAUGAGCCGUCAAAUCACAACCCCCCUUUCCAGCUUUAGCAGUAAGCUGGACGGACAAAGCGGCAAUAUUUCACUGGGCCUGAAUCCCCUUCUCCCUCGUCUGCUUGUUCAGAGAAAACCCCCUCUCGGCGAUUGCAUAGGGUUUUCUCAUGGAGAACCAGGUACGAAUUCUUCAUCCAUCCCUGAUAAAUCCAAGUCCCUUGGUCACAGGUAAUCCUAGGAUGGCAGCCGCCACCGUUGAUGCAUUUUUCUUCCUACUGAAUCUAGUGUGUUUCAUUUGCAGUGCCCAAAGUGCGAGUACCCUACAGGUUUCUGCGCCCUCGGCGAGACGCCACACUUGUUCCUUCUCAUCCUAACACAGCAUUUUGAAACGCGCACAGUAUGUUCGUAGAAUCCUAUUUUUUAUCCGGGAGGGUGGGGUUUUUUUGAACAUGCUGUGUUCUCAUAUUAUUUUUCCUGCAGUGUAUUAUUUGCUCUGCCAGAACACAUGUACUCAAGAUGCUCGGCCUUGCCAUAACGGAAUACACUAGUUUAAUGGUCACAGUGAAGACAUGCCAUGGAUAUAAGUUCCGAGUUGGGUUCAUGAACCAAGAAUAUCGCUGCUUUUUUAUGGCCGAACUUGGAUAAACUUUCUCAAGUGUUACAGACUUAAAGUUGGCGCAUGAAUGUUGGUGGAAAUAGCAGAACCUGGUCUCAUCUUCACUACGAUCUUCCACCCCGACGUUGUUCCAAUUGUUCACCCAUGUUAGUUUUGUAUCUGGUUCUUGCUUGUUGCCUCGAUUACUUCUUAAUCCACCUAUUCUAUCUAACUAAUCACAAUUUAACUUUAGAAGUAGCAACGAAUCUCUCACGAAGAUGCUACUUCUAACUAAUAUUUUCUUAUAAUUGGUGGCACGUGUAGGUUUUUUCAGAGUUAAGCAGUCUGCUCGUUUGUUACUCUAUAAUAACUUGGCUGUUACUAAUGGCAGUGAAGUUGAGUGGAUCGACAUCCACAAGUUCCUACACUUUAUUGAUCGUCUUGAGGUCCUUGUGGGGCGUUUCAAUGGUGGAAGGCCACCUGGCAUAUGUGUGCCACUGCUGCACUCGUUGAACAGGUCCAACUGUGUCGAGAAACUUAUGGUACGAGCUGUUUUCUGUUAUAUAUGUUGUUCAUAAACUAUUGCUUAUACACAGUUUUACAACUGUGAUCUUCUUGAAACAGGAACUGCCGAGUUCUAUUGUUCCUAUACAGAUGCCUGGCCAUGGUCGGGUCAGACUUGCGCUUGGUCACAACAUGAUGUUUAUGUCGACCUACUCAAUUCCCCUUGGAGGUGAAAAGAUACUUAUUCAUGGGUGGUCUCAAAUAAUGAAGGCCCGUCCAUCUUGGAGAAUAGGACAGAAGAUUAUGUUCAUGCUUUUUCAUGGCUCUAAAGCGAAUAUCCUGUUUAUUGACCACGUUGCGAGAUGAAGCCGCUUUCAGAAGGUUGUGGAUGCGCGGGGUGGCGCCUGGGCCUUGUCCUGGGGCUUGGCGGCCUCACCCUUGGUUAAUUGUAGGCAAAGUAGCACUGUUCGAGGCGUGCUUUGUAUGGUUGAACCUGUAUAAGUACUCAUACUGCUUUCAGCUUUGGUUGUUAAGUGCCCCUGCUGGUUUCAGUUAAGGUUGUUAAGUACUCCUGCUGCUUUUACAGACUGUCGUGUUUCUUCUGUCCUGUCUUCCUCCAGCCGCCAAAACCAAACAAGCGCCGGCGGGGCCGCCUGCUUCCGCUUCACACGGCUGGCUGCGCCUCAGCGCACACAUCGCCGCCCCACCGUCUCCUAAAUCGUUAACGCCGAUGUCCUCCGCGCGCUUUGGUGCGCUCGCCGCGGCGCCGCCCUCUCGCGUUGUCAACAUGGUCAACAAACAACAGGAAUCGGCAGAAGUACGUGGAGAGGAUGACAGUAGGGCCCACCACGUCAGCGUAUGGAAAAAUAAAAUGCUUCCUCCUAGUGUUUUCCUGACAUCUGGGACCCACGACAUUGUGAGCGUAUAUAGUCAAUAGACAAGAGAACAACACAAGAUCGGCUGACACCUGGGAUGUAGCUAGUCGAGCAGUAUUUUUUUGUUUGUAUUGUUGAGACGGAGCAGGGUUUGAACUUGGCUGUGGCCCGUCUAGCCCAGGCUUAUAUUUUAUGUUCACCAUGUGACCAGCCCAGCUAUUUUUUCUUUGUGAAAAUGAGCCCAGUUUAUUUUUUCUGAAGAAUACCCAAUCCAGGCCUACUUAUUUUUCUACGCCCUGAUGGGCUGCAACUCUUUCAAGACGCCUGCAAAUCUUGAAAGUAAUAUGAAAUGGGUUGUAAAUAUAAAAACAGAUGACAAAUUGGCAAUUACUUUAUAAUUUCUGAUUUUUUUUCACAUUUUCAGAUUCCUAUUUCACUGGGCAUUAACCUAAUUUAAAUAUAUCUUCAAAGUACUUUAAAUCUGGCUCGACAUUUCGGUAUUAAAAAUAGUUUGGAACCCACAGAAAUAUGCGGAAUUGGCCCUGGCCAACCAAAAAAACGACUGCAAUAAAUUGCAUCAGAAGUUGCCAUGAGCUAUAUAUAAACUAUUAAAAAAAGAGGAAGUCUUCUGACUUGUGGGCCUGUUUAGUUGACGCGUAUGCAAGACUUUUUUAGUUGUUAUAUACGUCAACAAACGAUUCUAGCAGACGUAACCGUUGGAUGUCAAUCCAACGGCCGUCGUGUUUCUUCAAUCUCUGAUCUUCUUGCUCCAGCCGCCAAAGCAGCGCCGGCGGGACCGCCUACUCCCGCCUCCCGUGGCCGGCUGUGGUGUCGCGCAGGCCUCAGCGCCCCCUACUACUCCCACCGCUGGUCGGGGCAUCCCUCUACUCACCCACACCCCCUCUUAUUCUGCGGCGACGGCAGCCUCACACCGCAGCCGAACCGGUGAACCCUCGUACUCCUCUCCGCGCGGGCUUCCACUGCCGCGUCUUCCCCGGCUCUGCGUCGUCCCCUUCCUAGGCCUCGCCGUCGUCCACCGCCGUGGUGCUCUCGGCGCGGCGUGGUCAAUGUGGUCAACGACCGACUUCCAUCGAAAGAGUACUGUACGUGGAGAGGCUGACAGCUGGGUCCACGGCAGCCGCAAGGAAGUGCCUCCUUAUUAUGCGGAAAAUAAUUAUUCCGCCACCUGAUAGCAGGGACCCACCGGACGGGCCACCAGUGUUUCGCGAAAUAAAACGUUUCCCCCUGACUGCUGGGACCCACAGGACGGGCCACCGUAUUUCGCGAAAAAACGUUCCCCCCGCUGUCAGCUCGGACCCACCGGAAGUACCUCCUUAUUACGCACAAAAAAAUGAAUACCCCCCUGCUAGCUGGGACCCACCUUGGUGGGAGGCGGACUUUUGGGCCUACUAAGUUGACUGGGAUGGAGGCCUUUGUCAACUUUAGUCAAUAUAUGAACGAUUCUAGCUCCAGUGACCGUACGAUGUCCAUCCAACUGCCGUAGUGCUUCUUCAACCUCUGGUCUUCUUGCUCCAGCCGCCCAAAGCAGCGCCGGUCGUGCCGCCUGCUCCUGCCGGCUGUGAUGUCGCGGAGGCCUCACCGCCCCCUACUACUCCCACCACUGGCCAGGCCAUCCCUCUACGCACCCACACCCCCUGUUAUUCUGCGGCGACGGCAGCCUCACAGCGCAGCCGAACGAGUGAACCCUCAUACUCCUCUACGUGUGGGCAUCCACUACCGCGUCUUCCCCGGCUCCGCGUCGUCCCCUUCCUAGGCCUCGCCGUCAUCCACCGCUCUGGUGCUCUCGGCGCGGCGUGGUCAACAUGGUCAAGGAAUGGCUUCCAUCGGACGUGGACUGUACGUGGAGAGGCUGACAGCUGGGUCCACGGCCGCAGCAAGGAAGUGCCUCCUUAUUACGCGCAAAAUAAUUAUUCCUCCACCUGACAGCGGGGACCCACCGGACGGGCCACCGUAUUUCGCAAAAAAAACGUUUCCCCCUGACUACUAGGACCCACCAGCUACAUCUUCGCACGCAAGGAAGUGCCUCCGAAAAAAAACGAUUCGCCCCCCUAACUGCUGGGACCCACCAGCUACAUCUUCGCUCGUAAGGAAGUGCGUCCGGAAAAAAACGAUUCGCCCCCCGACUGCUGGGACCCACCAGCUACAUCUUCGCACGAGAGGAAGUGCGUCCGGGCAAAAAAAAAACAAAACGAUUCCCCCCUGACUGGUGGGACCCAGCAGCUACACCUUCGCACGCAAGGAAGUGCGUCCGGGCAAAAAAACAAAAUGAUUCGCCCCCCUGACUGCUGGGACCCACCAGCUACAUCUUCGCAGGCAAGGAAGUGCCUGACAGUCGGGACCCACCUGGUCGAAGCGUACGUAGCAUUGUCAUUCUGGUCGCCAACGUUUACGUACAUAUAUACUGGUCGAUGUAGAGGCGCGCACGUAGGAUGUACACGUACGUACAGCGGCCAGGGUGCAAGAAAGAAAAUACGGCCACGUACGUACAUACGGGCAGGGUCUCGAACGCCUACUCGCGCAUACGUUGUCGUGUACAUGGCUGGGUCGGAACGGAGAAACAGCGUCGUUGUCGUGUUCAUGGGGAGGCAACGGAAUGCGUCGUGUUCAUGGGGAGGCAACGGAAUGCGUCGUGUUCAUCGGGAGGCAACGGAACGCAUGGGAGCCAACCGGCUGGGUCGGAAUGGAAUGCGUGGUCGUGUUCAUCGAGAGGGCUUGGACGGAACAGGCGAUGGAAACGAGGCCUGGCGUACCGCAAAACGGAGGAAACGGCCUUGUGUUCGACCGGUCAUGUUCGAAACGGGAUCCUGUUCAUCGGGAGGGGUCUGCGUACCGCAAAACGGAGGAAACGGACCUCCUACAGUCGAAACGGGGGUCCUGUUGAUCGGGAGGGGUGUGGCGUACCGCAAAACGGAGGAAACGGACUUGUGUUGGAGCGCUACGGUCGAAACGGGGGUCCUGUUGAUCGGGAGGGGUGUGGCGUACCGCAAAACGGGAGUCCACGGGAUACUGUUCAUCUCCACCGUCGACCUCCUCCACCCUCCACGGGCUACCGUCGACCUCCUCCAGCCUCCACGGGCUCCUGUUCAUCCAGCCUCCACCGCGCGCUACUCCACCGGCUACUGUUCAACCACCCCUCCACGGGCACCCCUCCACCGUCUACUGUUCAUCCAGCCCUCCAUACCACGGGCUCCUGUUCAAUCACCCCUCCACGGGCACCCCUCCACCGUCUACGGUUCAUCCAGCCCUCCACACCACGGGGUCAUGUUCAUCCAGAGGCAACGCCACCGCUCACUCUUCAUCCAACCCCCCAUGCAACGCUCACUGUUCAUCCAAUCGAUCGGCUUCAGUUAGCAGCAGUAGCGAAGGAAUCGCUCGAUCGGGUUCAGUUAACAGCCAUCGAUCGAUCGCUCGGGUUCAGUAACGCGUAGCCUGCAGUGCAAUCGCUCGGGUUCAGUUAGAGCCCAACGCCUCGCUCGGGUUCAGUUAGAGCCAAAGCCUCGCACACACGCGCGUACGUGUAUGAGAGAAACGCGCAUCGCUCGGCCCCCGACCUCCCACCGUAACCGGGAACUCCCAGAAAUUUUCCUCCCCCUCGCUUCUACCACGGUUUUUUUCGUCAUGGACGGCCCAAAGAAUGUCAUACAGCUGCGUCUCCGGCCCGCCCAGGACGAAAAGCCCAUUUUCUGUCAUGAUUUUUUGUCAUAGAAGUAGGAGCCCACCACAUCUAUGAUGAUACCAGGUUUUGUCACAAUUAUCGUCAUAGAAGUGUCAUAUGUAUGACAAAUUUUUUUUCGUUCGGCCCAAAAUGUCACGGAUGUGUCUUUUUUUUGUAGUGUUAUUCCUUACGUUCCGACAUAAUCUUGGAAGUGUUCCUUUGUAUCUUUUUAGAUCUUCAGAUCCAACUCUUACCCGAAACACCAUGUUAUUGCUACCUCGAAGCAUGACUAUGGUACUCUGUAUAUCAACAAGAACAUUGGAAGCGCAAUGCUAAAUGUUUCUUGAUUUAUUAUUCAAACACCGUGAUGUGGGUAAUAUCAUGAUUAUUCCCUCGCCCCUUUGUCUAAAUACUUUUCAACUUGCUGUCCUAUCAUGUAUAUCAUGCCCCGCCUUUCCUUGGGAAGGAUAUACCCUAAAUUCUUGUGUGCAAACACAUUUUUCCUUUCCUUUGAUCUGAUUAAUCCUGAUAAUCACAUUUACCUUUCCAUUGGUUUGUUAAUCUUUCUUUUGAUCUAUAUGAUAAAAGAAGAAAUAAUUCCCUGCUUAUAAAAACGCCUCAAGGUACAAUUCGGUCAGUACGACCCUGUUACUAAUGUUGAUGACAUUCCGGUAACCACCAAUGGACGAGAACUUUGCCUACUGGUCCGCCUCGUUUCAACGAGCAGGAAAAUGGUUCUCUUCAUCCCUCGCCCUUGGUACCAACGUUGUUGCCACCAUAACUGACAGUUUUUCCUCUAACAUGCCUCGCUAUCAUGACCGUGCAAGAUGUCAGCUUCCUUCCUACUUUCUACCACAUGGUGGGCCCAUAACCCACAAUUCCACAGGAUCGAAGCCUGACUCUCCUGUACAACCUUGAUGCCGAAGUAUCUUAUGCUCUUGGCUUUGUGUGUUAUCACGAGCCACCCCCGAGGGAUGAUCUAUUCCCGAUGCUCUGAACCCCUUCUCGCACUCUGUUCAAGUAUCGAUCGUUUGUCCAUUCGCUUGAAACUUCUUAUUGUACCUUCAUAUUUUGCUCUCAACGUUUUUCUUAAAUUUCAACUCGAGAGAUACUUCUGUCACAUUCCCUGCAUUGUUCACCAGACAAUUAACCCUAUAUGGGUCAGUUCUCCUGAAGUUACUCUUUACUUCACCACUUAAAUCUUGGGACGAGAUUUCUUGUAGUGGAGGAGAUUUGUAACACCCCCAGUGUCAUGCUACAGUAAUCCCCUGUUAAUGGUGCCAGGUCACCAUGCUUACUGAGCUAAUUAUCACUUGAUGAAAAAUCAAAGUCAAAUUCAAAUUCAAAUUAUGAGGGAAAUUCAAAAUUUCUCAAACAUGAAAACCAAAAUGUUCAUCAUGUGCCAAAUCAUCCAUAACUAAUCUUGGUGGUGAACCAACAUUUUUGCAAAAUUUUUAAGGGGCCUAAAGUACUUAAAACAGUUACCUAAGCAAUAAAUUAAAUGCCUUUUUAAUUUAUAAAAAUUGCUAACUGUUUCAAAAGCCUCACAAUCUUUUUGUGGCAGUGCCCAAUAAUUCUUUGAUAUUGUUUUGGCCAGUGGCAUAUUUUUUUGCAAAGUCAAUUGUGGCUAAAAGAAAAGGCAAAAGCUGCAAAAAAAGAAGGAAAAGGGGAUCCCCUGCCCCUGGGCCUAAGGCCACAGAGACAGGACCAGCCGGCCAGGCCCAGCUCCCCGCCCCGGUCAUCUCCCCACUGUUCUCCAGGUGCGCGUCGCUACAGGAGGCUCGUCGCCGCCCGACCACCUCGCCGGCAAUGCCGUGGGUGGAUAACAGCACCCCCCUCCGGCUCCUCGAGUCCUCCCCCACCUACCUCCACCCACUCCCCUGCUCGCCCUCUCCGCCUCUCCCUCUCCCCACCAGAUCCUAUUCCCACCUCGUCCGAGCACCACCAUGGAUGCUGCCCCGUGAAGCUCGCGGCCACACUUCCUCACCGCGCCUCGCCUACGUGUCCGCGAAUUCCGCCGCCGACUGCUUCUUCCUCUACGUCCACGUGCGCGGGCUGGAAGCACCUCUAUCGCCGGAUCCGCAGCCGUCUUCUUCGUCUUCGGUUGCCGGCGAGUUCCGUCGAGUCCGGCCACCCUCUACUGCUACUAAUCCUCCAAGGGCCACCGUGUGUGCCGCUCGGUGAGCCCCUCUUCCUUCCCCAUCUAUCUGGUCACUCUCGCACGCUCGCUAGCUACUUCCUCUGCAGUGACCGAACGCGCCGCCGCCGACGAGCUCAUGGUCGUCGCCACAGCCACCGUCAUGCUCGCCCGAACACAACACCGUGCUCCUGGUGCUUCCAGGAAUACAACACGCGCGCGCACACAUCCUACCGUGCCCCCUAGCCCUAUCCCCGACGAGCGCCCGAAUGCAUCGCCGCGGAUCUCGUUGCCGGCGAGACUCCGGUGACCUUUUGGUCACGGGUAGUGCCCAACGUGCUCGCCGCACUGCAUAGAGCACGCCUAGCUCUUCCGUUCAAGCUGCUUCACGCCGUAGCACCGUUUCCGUCGAGCACCCGUACGUGCCGCCGCCUCUGCUCGUCGCCGGCGCCGAUUCCAGCCAAGUCCGGCUGCGCUAGCGCCACCACUCGAUGCGCGGCACCAUCAGCGUUCGAACGCAAGCAAAUCCGUGCGAGACGGUGCCCCGUAGCGAAUUUCCGAGCGUCUCCGGCGAGCUCGCCGCCGCGGGAGCCACCGGAGCAACCCCGGUGCCGGCCAUCUUCGUGGCUCGGUGGGCCCCGCCCCUGGGUCACUAACGUGUGGGCCCGAUGGGUCAUGUUGACUAGUUUGACCCAGUCAACUGCUGACUGGGCACACCUGUGCCACUGACGUGUGGGCCCCACCGCCUAAUUGGUCAAAAUCAACAUUUCCUAAAUAAACUUAAUUAGUUAACCUAAUUAUCCACUGACAGGUCGGGCCCACUCUGUUAAGGCCUCUGUCUAUGACAGGUGGGACCCACUAGUCAGUUUGACCAGUCAGCGGGUCAGUUGACUACUUACAUCACCCUGACAUCAUGCUGACAUCAUAUUCCAUUUCUAGAAAUUAUUGUUAACUUAUAUAAAUCCAGAAAGUGCUAGAAACUUUGAAAAUUCAUAGAAAAUAAACCGUAGCUCGGAUGAAAAUGUUUUCUAUAUGAAAGUUGCUCAGAAAAAUCCAACGAAUCCGAAUAUGCGGCCCGUUCAUCUAUCACAUCCACCUAGCAUGCUGAACAUGGAACUGUUCCCCUCAUUUCAUCUGUCCGAAAAAUACCAAACGCCGGGAAAGCCUCUCCGGAUGUGUUCCCUCUCCGUCUCCAACGUGUAGCACUGCGUUAGGUCACCUUUAGCACCGCGUAUUGCCAUGUUAUUAAUUGUGAUGCGAUGUUUGCUUUAUAUUUAUUGUAUCUUCCCCCUCUUCUCUCCGGUAGACCCCGAGGCCGGUGCCGCACUACAGGAAUCAGCUACUUUGUCGUCUGCCACGGCAGAUGGCAAAGGCAAGGAUGGCGGACGGCAAAGGCCUUUGCCGUCUGCCGCGGACGGCAAAAGGCUCCGGCACAGUAGGCAUCGGUAAAGAGCUUCUUUGCCGUCUGCUUUUUGAAGCGGAUAGCAAAGGGGCCUUUGCCAUCAGCGGCGGACGGCAAAGAAAGCCGACGGCAAUAAAUUCACUGUUAGUCCGUUAGGUGGCUAACGACAGUCUUUGCCGUCCGUGGCUGACGGCAAAGAGCAUCAAGCCUUUGCCGUCUGCCACUGUAGGCAAACUGACCAAAUGGGUCAGCUGCCAGGAAGCACCGGUUGUUGCCACGUGGCUUCUUUGCCGUCCGCCGCGGAUGGCAAAGAGCCCGUUGCCGUCGGUGGCAGACGACAAAGAGCCUGCAUUGCCUAUUUUUCUGUUUUUCUUAUACCCAACCAUUUUCACAGCAAAUAGAUGAUACAUAUAUAUUUUUCACAUGGCAAGUUCAUAGCAAACAUAUGAGAUAUCUAACACAUAUAAUUUCAUCAUACAUGCAUAGUUCCAUCAACCAUACAUAGCAAGUUCCACAUACAUGCAUCCAACCAUACAUAUUACAAUAGUGUUAUCCUACCAUACAUGCACAGUUCAUCGAUACAAAAGAAACAUAGUUCAUCCAAACAAGCACUCCAUCUAUGCUAGCUUCCGUGAAGCGAAUGAAUUCUACAAAAUGGGAAAUAAGAAAGUUAGAAGAAGAAGAUUAGAAGAAGAAGAAGAAGAAGAAAACGAAGAAGAAGAACAAUAUAUGACAUUUAUGAGCUAAUUUAGGUAUAAUUGAUCGUUUGUGAGCUAACUUAGGUGAAAUGGAUCGUUUAUGAGCUAACCUAGGUGAAAUGGAUCGCUUAUGAGCUAACUUAGGUAAAAUGCAUCAUUUUAGAGCUAACCUAGGUAAGAUGGAUCAUUUUGGAGCUAACCUAGGUAAAAUGGGUCAUUUUAGAGCUAACUUGGGUAAAAUGGAUCAUUUAUGAGCUAAGCAAGGUAAAAUGGGUCAUUUUAGAGCUAACUUGGGUAAAAUGGAUCGUUUAUGAGCUAACUAAGGUAAAAUGGAUCAUUUUAGAACUAACUUAGGUAAAAUGGAUCGUUUAUGAGCUAACUAAGCUAAUUAUGCCAUUUUGGACAUAAGUAAGCUAAGUACAUGUCAUUAUUGAGCAAACCUAGUUAACUAAGCAUAUUAGAGCUAACUUUGGUCAUUUUGGAGGAAACAAAGCUAAGUAUAGAUGGUUUUAGAGCUAACUUGGGUAAAAUGGAUGGUUUUGGAGGUCAGUAAGCUUAUUAAGUCAUUUUGGAGGAAAUAAAGCUAAGUCUAGGUCAUUGUGGUAAGCAUUUUGGAGGAAAUAAGGCUAAGUCUAGGUCUUUAUGCAUUUGUUAAGCAAAACACUAGAGAAACUUACCAUGAUCAUGGAGGUGUAGGAGCGGGCUGGCUCGUGCCGGUAGCUGGAGAAGGAUCGUGCGAUGCUUGUUUGGAGUUACGCUGCACCAAAGAUCAUUUCCAAUGUCUCGUUAGCAUGAUGACACUCAAAUGUUAAGACUAGCAAGUAAUGUCCAUUCAAAUUAAACUCACCGUGGUCCCAGGAGCAAUCACUGGCAUCGGCGGAGCGGUCUAACCGGUCUUCUCGUACACAGACUGCACAUUUGGUUUUGACGACUCAGUCAUACUAGUUAGUAAUGAGACAAACACUACAUGAAUGUUUUGGCUAAUCUGCAGAAGAAACUUACCACAAGGAGCUCGUACAUGGCCCUUGCCUGCAUGUCAUAACGUGCCCUCUCCUCCUCCAACAUCGUUGUCGUCCUCUCCUCCAACUCCCGCUGCCUCUCCGCCGCCUCCGCCAGAAGUUUCUCUGUUCUAUCUCUCUCACUCUGUAUAGCAGCCUGCAACACCACUCCUCGUUACCAUUUGUAAUCAUUGAUGCAAGCACAGACAAUGUAAUGGAGAAAGAUAACUGAGUACGUAUAACUAACCUUGAUGGCGAGUUGGACUGGCCGUUCACGAGGCCUUAUCUCAGGAGCGGAGCUCGACUGGCGCGCCUUGAUCUCCGGGAGAGUGCUAGGACAACGGAUAAGUCCAUCUCCAAUGGCUAUGGAGCCAUGGGACCUCCCGCCACCAGAUAUCAUCACCAGCUCUGGAUCAAUGGGAGCCUGGCUCGGGUUAAAGUACCCCCUUUCCUCGCCUUCCCCUCAUCUCUAUAUUUCAUGAGCUUGUCGUGGGAGGAGAUAUUGGUGAAGUUGUUUGCAUCAUCGAGGUCAGACGGAGAGAAUGCCUUGACUUUCUUGAAAGAGGCAGUGUGGGCCAUGGCAUACAGGUCGUACACCUCUGGCACCUUAUCCGCCUUAUUGUAGCAUGCCUGAAAGAGAGAAACAAAGUAAAUUAGUAAUUAAAGGGCUCAAGCUAGCAUGAUGAAUGAAUUGCAUGAAUCAUGAAGCAAACCACAUACCCAGUUCCACCCGAACUGAUAUAAGUUGGAGCUGCCUUGAUGGUGUGGCACACCUUCCAUUUGGGCACGUUUGUCCUUGGCCGCGUUGUGGACGGCUAGCCAUUCUUUUGAACACCACUCAUUGACCAACACCUCCCAACAAUCCAUCCGAUCCGCACACCAUCUCGGAGGCGCCUAAGUUAGCAAAUAGAAACUUGAGCGCUACGGCUAUGAAUUACUAAAUGAAGGAAGUAAGUACAAGGCGUAGUAGUCUCGAACAGCCUGCACCCGAGCCUCGUGCCGUAAGUUCUGUAGUAGGCGCUUGCAGGCGUUCUCGAUAACAUUUGCCGCCUCCUCCUCGUAUCCCUCCUCACACCUGUAGAAUGUCUGCAAUCAAAUGAGACAAUAUUGAUUAGUACAAUUAAUAACUAGCUAGUUGAAGAUUUUUAAAUGUGUAAAGGAGAAAUUACCCAGAACUUUCUGAUCACCACAUCUGCCCUCGUGUCGCACAAGACACCGUCGAUAAUCUCACCCGGCGGGGCCGGGGCAGCCAAGUAGUGCUCCCAGCUCAAUCCAAACUCUGGAAGCCGACCCUCACAAGGCAACGUGACAAACCCCGGGAAGUUUUGCCAGCAAAGCACUCCAAGGACGGAGUUGGGCCGGCGGACACUAUGAUGGUGGUCCCAACCCCUACAGCAUGACAAGGCCAACGCAUUAGAUAUUUGAAGAAACGUGAAUGCAGAAGGUACAAAAGGAUUAAAUGCACUUACCUGUCCCCAUCAGGGAAAAUCAACCACCUCUGCUCUCGGGUCGCCGACACGGACGGGAGCCGUGUACAACCACGCUGGUAGACGGUGCCCCCCUCAUCCUCAAUAUCAGUCGGCUCCCUGCCAUCAUCAGCAUGGCCACUCGGCCCCUCAGGCUCAUCCGGCCAGGUACCCAUCCAGACGUGUGCUCCUCCAGGGUCUCGUGGGCCGAAGGCGCGUCGACCCAAGGCUCAUGGGCCAAAGGCUCGUGGACCGGAGUCCGUGUAGCCUCCUCCUCGGACGAGUCCACCCUAGCAGUCACAUGCUCGGGUGAAACAGCUGGGGGUGGCGGCGAGGAAGGCGCCCUAGCAGUCACCCUACCUCCUCUCCCGCGACCACGUGCUCCAACUCCUCUCUUCUUCCCUCCCUUACCUCGUCCCCUGCUGGGCACCGCUGUCGACGUAGAAGUGCCCGGCGGUGUCGCCAUACUGUCCAGCAACGCUCGGCGGAGAGGUGCGUGUGGAAUGGAAGACCUCCCACCACGCGCCGACGAAGAAGGGGCCUCGGAGCGCUCCUGACCAGCGCCCACCAUCUUUCAACACCUGCCAUGACAAAGAGUAAACGAAAUUAGUACAACAUAAAAAAUACCGACAUGAAUAAUAAUAUGUAUAUCACCUAUGAGCCGACAUAAAUAAAAAAAUUGAAUAGCUGACACUACUAAUAAUCUCGAUCACUAUCAUCAAUAAAUGCAUAAUCAUCAUCAUCACUAUAAUCAAUGACGGGCUCAUAGGGUUCAGUAGCAUCUAAUAUAUGACCUAACUCAUAAUUCACAAAUAUAUGACCUCGUCGGCCUCUGGUGUCGUGGGUGUCGUGUCGGGGUCGGGGUGCCAUGUCGGGGGUCGGGGUGUUGNNNNNNNNNNNNNNNNNNNNNNNNNNNNNNNNNNNNNNNNNNNNNNNNNNNNNNNNNNNNNNNNNNNNNNNNNNNNNNNNNNNNNNNNNNNNNNNNNNNNNNNNNNNNNNNNNNNNNNNNNNNNNNNNNNNNNNNNNNNNNNNNNNNNNNNNNNNNNNNNNNNNNNNNNNNNNNNNNNNNNNNNNNNNNNNNNNNNNNNNNNNNNNNNNNNNNNNNNNNNNNNNNNNNNNNNNNNNNNNNNNNNNNNNNNNNNNNNNNNNNNNNNNNNNNNNNNNNNNNNNNNNNNNNNNNNNNNNNNNNNNNNNNNNNNNNNNNNNNNNNNNNNNNNNNNNNNNNNNNNNNNNNNNNNNNNNNNNNNNNNNNNNNNNNNNNNNNNNNNNNNNNNNNNNNNNNNNNNNNNNNNNNNNNNNNNNNNNNNNNNNNNNNNNNNNNNNNNNNNNNNNNNNNNNNNNNNNNNNNNNNNNNNNNNNNNNNNNNNNNNNNNNNNNNNNNNNNNNNNNNNNNNNNNNNNNNNNNNNNNNNNNNNNNNNNNNNNNNNNNNNNNNNNNNNNNNNNNNNNNNNNNNNNNNNNNNNNNNNNNNNNNNNNNNNNNNNNNNNNNNNNNNNNNNNNNNNNNNNNNNNNNNNNNNNNNNNNNNNNNNNNNNNNNNNNNNNNNNNNNNNNNNNNNNNNNNNNNNNNNNNNNNNNNNNNNNNNNNNNNNNNNNNNNNNNNNNNNNNNNNNNNNNNNNNNNNNNNNNNNNNNNNNNNNNNNNNNNNNNNNNNNNNNNNNNNNNNNNNNNNNNNNNNNNNNNNNNNNNNNNNNNNNNNNNNNNNNNNNNNNNNNNNNNNNNNNNNNNNNNNNNNNNNNNNNNNNNNNNNNNNNNNNNNNNNNNNNNNNNNNNNNNNNNNNNNNNNNNNNNNNNNNNNNNNNNNNNNNNNNNNNNNNNNNGGGUGGCGGCGGCGGGUGGUGGGGGUGGCGGCGGGUGGCUGGUGGCGGGGGCGGCGGCGGGUGGCGGUGGUCGUCGAGGUGGGGAGGACAGAAAGAGAGAGAGGGGGGAGGGAGCGGGGUGGGGGACGGCCGUCAGUUAGGUUAUCUCUUUGCCGUCCGCCCCCUUUGCCGUCCGCUUUUUUGCUCUUUGUCGUCUUCUAGCAGACGGCAAAGAGGGGGGCCGUUAGGUUUUUUUCUAAGCAGCUCGUUAGUGGGGCCCACCUCUCUCUUUUCCAUCCGCCAGCUGACGGCAAAGAUUCUUUGCCGUCCGCCAGCAGACGGCAAAGAAUUAGCUGAUGGCAAAGACAUUCUUUGCCAUCAGCCAGUUCUUUGCCGUCCGUUUUUUGCAAGCUGAUGGCAAAGACCUUCUUUGCCGUCCGCCAGCAGACAGCAAAGAAUAGGAAGACGGCAAAUAAGCAAAUUCCAGUAGUGCCGGUGCCACUAUGAUCGUCUACGUCACCGACGACCCUUCUUCACUACAAGAAAUAUGUCAACUGGUGACCUUCUGUCAGUGACCCUGGAAGAAUUGGUCAUAGAUCUACGACCAUUUGAGACCAAUUGGUCAAAAGUUGCUCGGGGGGCUCCAAACCCUCAACUAUAUCGACCAUUUUGGCCAUAAAGGUCGUAAUUUCCUUACACGAAAGUACACAACAGUGAUCCGCUGCCUUAUUUCUAGCUGAUCACGACAAAUAUAGAUGGUCAUAACCUUGUAAAUUGUGGUGGAUUGCUAUGACUAGUCGCCACCUCAUCAGUUUUGCCUAUGUGUCAUGUCCAUGUGUCAAUUUUUGCCCUAGGUUGUGAAGCAACCUAUAUUUCUGUCAUUCCCAAAAUUCCCAAAAAAAUUGGGCAUUGUUUACUAUCCAAAUCAUUGCCUCAUGACAAUAUUCAACUCCAUUUCCCUGGUAAAUCUUCCUCGGCAAAUUUCCAAAGUUUUUUAUUGAACUCGAACUGUUGUGAAGGAAGUACUAGCUAGGCAUAUCCUAAUGAGCUAAAUUUUUGCCACAUCUUCUAUAUUCCCAAGUCAUAGCUCUCCACAAAAUUUGAGCCCCAUCUAACCAUACAUGUGAGUGUGGCUUCAACAUUCAUAUUUCUGUCCGGUGUGGUACAUUGCAAAGCAAGUGACACCUAGGCUCCUCCAUUUUAGCUGCAAAUUUUCCAAGAUAGUGUCCUUAGUAGAUGAUCAUCCUCGGCCAAAACUCAGGCCCAUUGGCCAUGUGCAUUUCCCGUACCACUAAUCAAACACUUGGGUGCUAAUUCAUGUUUGAGCAUUGUUCGGUCUCCUCGUGAGAUUCUUAUGUUGUUAUUUUCUUCCAAGCAUCUACCUGGGGAGUGCCAAACCUACUAGACAUGCCUAGGCUUCCCAGAACGCAUGGCAACGCCAUGGUCACGCAGUGACCACGCGGCGGGCAUGCGAGUCUACGCGCUUUGGAGUUGGGGCUCUGGACCACCGUCCAAACCUCAACGUAUCACCACCAAACCAUGUAUUUAUGGUUAAAUAGAUACCUAUAUACCUAGAAAUGAUUUUUGGAAAAAAAUAAAGAGCAAACUAUAAGGCAGCCGCAGUUCAAGUUUGACCCGCUUCCUACUGAAUCGGCGGAAAUUUGUCUUUUCACUAGAGGUGGAUAAAAACUUUUUACACCCAAACAUUUUGUCAAUUGUGCAUUAAACAUGGCGUUGUAUUUUAUAAAAUUGAUUUGGUCCAUUUUUGCAACAAUUAUUUGGUAGUUCCUUCACAAAAAAACCUCAUUUCGGACACUCGAAAAAUGGAAAAUGAAUUUUCCGUGCAAAGAAAAUGAAAACUCCCUUAGGCAAAAUUGUUUGGAAUUCCAAGAUGCACCCUUGUGCACAAUAUGAGAUCAUUUGAAUGAACUAUUCCAUGAAUGUGGCCAUAAGAUUGAUCAUUUGGCUUGAAAGCCAUGAAUCUUCACGCAUGAUAACUCAUAUGAUGACAUAAUGCGAAGGUUUUCCAAUCAUUUGUCAUAUUACAAGUUUAUUAUUUUUCCUGGAAACUUGGUCACAUAUGAUGACACAAUGCGAAGGUUUUCCAAUUAUUUGUUUUUUUUGAAUUUUUUAUGCCCGUUUCAAAAUGCGGUCAAAACGGCGGGCUUGACCGUUCCUAGCUAGUUGUUGAAUCUUGGAAACCUUUUGAUGUUUCUCUGAUUAAAUAGAUAGUUAUGUACCAAAAAAUGAUUUUUGGAAAAAAUAAAGAGCAAACUAUGAGGUAGCUACAGUUCAAAUUUGACCCGCUUCCUACUGAAUCGGCGGAAAUUUGUCUUUUUCACCAGAGGUGGAUCAAGGCUUUUGACACCCAACCAUUGUGUCAAUUGUACAUUAAACAUGGCCUACUAUUUUAUAAAAUUUAUUUGGUCCAUUUUUACAACAAUUAUUUGGUAGUUCCUUCACAAAAAACCCUCAUUUCGGGCACUCGAAAAAUGUGAAAUGAAUUUUCCAUCCAAAGAAAAUGAAAACUUCCUUAGGCAACAUUGUUUGCCAUUCCAAUACUCACCCUUGUGCACAAUAUUAGAUCAUUUAAACAAACUAUGCCAUGAAUGUGGCCAUAAGAUUGAGCAUUUGGGUUGAAAGCCAUGAAUCUUCACACAUGAUAGGCCAUUUCUGAGAGCACUUUUCUAAAAUAAUUGUCAUAAUACAAGUUUAUUAUUUUUCCCGGUAACUUAGUCAGAUAUAAUGACACAAUGCGAAGGUUUUCCAAUAUUUUGAUUUUUUUUGAAUUUUUUAUGCACGUUUCAAACUGCGGUGAAAACGGCGGGCUUGACCGUUCCUAGCUAGUUGUUGAAUCUUGGAAACAUUUUGAUGUUUCUCUGAUUAAAUAGAUAGUUAUGUACUAAGAAAUGAUUUUUGGAAAAAAUAAAGAGCAAGCUAUGAGGCAGCUAUAGUUAAAAUUUGACCCGCUUCCUACUGAAUCGGCGGAAAUUUGUCCUUUUCACCAGAGGUGGAUCAAGGCUUUUGACACCCAACCAUUAUGUCAAUUGUGCAUUAAACAUGGCCUAGUAUUUUAUAAAAUUGAUUUGGUCCAUUUUUACAAUAAUUAUUUGGUAGUUCCUUCACAAAAAAACCCUCAUUUCGGGCCCUCGAAAAAUGGAAAAUGAAUUUUCCGUCCAAAGAAAAUGAAAACUUCCUUAGGCAACAUUGUUUGCCAUUCCAAUACGCACCCGUGUGCACAAUAUUAGAUCAUUUAAACAAACUAUGCCAUGAAUGCGGCCAUAAGAUUGAGCAUUUGGGUUGAAAGCCAUGAAUCUUCACACAUGAUAGGCCAUUUCUGAGAGCACUUUUCUAAAAUAAUUGUCAUAAUACAAGUUUAUUAUUUUUUCUGGUAACUUAGUCACAUAUAAUGACACAAUGCGAAGGUUUUCCAAUUUUUUGAAUUUUUUUUGAAUUUUUUAUGCACGUUUCAAACUGCGGUCAAAACGGCGGGAAUGACUGUUCCUAGCUAGUGGUUAAAUCUUGGAAUUUUUUUGGUGUUUCUCUGAUUAAAUAGAUACUUAAGUACCUAGAAAUGAUUUUUGGAAAAAAUAAAGAUCAAGCUAUGAGGCAGCUGCAGUUCAAAUUUGACCCGGUUCCAGCUGAAUCGGUGGAAAUUUGUCAUUUUCAUGAGAGGUGGAUCAACCUUUUGACACCCAACCAUUUGGUCAAUUGUGCAUUAAAUAUGUCCUAGUAUAUUAGAAAAUAGAUUUGGUACAAUUUUGCAACAAAUAUAUGGUAGGUCCUUCACAAAAAAAACUCACUUUGGGCACUUGAAAAAUGGGAAAUGAAUUUUUCGUGGAUAGAAAAAAAAACUUCCUUAGGCAACACUGUUUGCCAUUACAAAAUGCACCCCUGUGUAUAAUAUGAGAUCAUUUUUUGAAUUUUUCAUGUGAAAAAUUAGAAGAAAACAAAAGGAAAAACACAUUUAUAUGUGCUCUAUUCUCAUUGGUGGAAUUAGCUGUCACACGGAUCGAUGACAUGGCCCCCAUCCAUCCAUCCAUUCAUCUCUCCAUCCCACGUCCAUCCAUCCAUCUAUCUUCAGAAAAAAAAAAAAGGGUAACCCCCACCCCCACCCGCAGCCCGACCAACCAAACCCUAACUCCUCCCAUCUCUCCUCCCAUCGCACUCCUCCUUCCUCAUCUCCUCGCCGCCGCCACCUCCUCCCCGUCCUGCAGCGGCGCGUCCCGCCACCUCCUCCUCUCCGUCCCGCCACCACCUCCUCCUUCCUCGACGCGUCCCACAACGGCGCCCACCGCGUCGCCUGCCGGCCGCCCUCGCAGGUGGCUGCGUCCGCUAGCCCCACCGGCGACCUGCUACCCCAUCGCUGGCUUCUCCCUCACCCCUCUCUAACCCUAGCUUCCCGUCACCAGUGGCGGUGCCCUCAUUCCCUCGCGUUGCACCUGAACCUCCCUCCCGCUCCUAGCUUUUCUUCCUCCUCCUCCACCACUAGGGUUUCGUCUCCCCAAUCCCCAGUCCCCGAAGCUCGGAUCUAGCAGAAGCAGUGAUGGCGGCCGCGGGAGAUCCUCUCCAAGGUUCAGACCAAGCCCGCUGAUGGAGCUGCAGCCGCCGGAGGGGCCGACGCGUCGGAUGCGACCGCCGCCCCGUCCGCCCCCGCCGAGGACCUCAAGAUCUGGGAUGCGCGUCGGAUGCGCUUCCCCAACCACAACAACGACGACGCCGUGAGGUGAGCCCUAUACUGUACUAUAGCUGCUAGAGUAGGUUAUUCUUUUAAGCUGGAUCUGUGCAAGGUUGCGACGUUGGUUCUAUAUUUUCGUUGAUGGAGUAGAUGAAUUAUUUGUAUAGCUGUAGAUGCUGAGUAGAUGAUCUGGUGUACAUUUUGUGGUCUGGAAACAAAAUUACUAAGCAAGGUGAAGCCCUGAGCUUGACUUCAUCGAUGUGCUCUAUGUAUAUUUAUUUACUGCUAUAACAUGGAUAUAUAUUCAGCUUUAAUGUUAGUUGUAGUGCUAGCACGUCCAUAUGUGCAAGAAAAGGGUUAAGACAGAACUAUGCUUGCUAGUACUAUCUCUCUAAAACAUGUGCAAUUUGAAUCCCAACAAUCCAACCUGGUAGGGGCAGAUUUUGCCUUGUUAGAGUUGUAUUGCGAUUUAAUUUAGUGCUACAUGGUUUUAGAUUUCUUUGUUAACUUGAGCAGGAAAACUAAGUAAGAUGCGUAUUUGACACAUGGUAUAGGCAGGGACAGAAUGGCUUCUGAUGUGUUGUGCUUAUGUAUUAUGCUUGCAGCUGCUGACCUCUUCCUGGGCUUCGCAACCAACUUCCAGCAGGUCUACACGCUGGCGCAGUGCGACGUUUACUGCAGCAACUGCGUCACCCAGGCCGUGCAACGAAUCACGGUCGAGUGCGGCAGCGCCCCCUCCGGCCAGGUCUACCUCGACAAGUGCUACAUUACCUACAGCUACUACCCCCACUGUUUCAUGAAUGGUUCAUUACAGUAGUUCUUUCUGAAGUAAUUUCAGUGUUUCAUAGAUUAAGAUUACAGAUGUAUGUUCAUGAAUGAUGAGUAGUUUCAGUUAUUUCCCAACUUGAAAGAAACUGGAAUAGGCAGUAGUAGGACAAUGAGUCAUCCUGCACUAGUACAAGUACAUGAACAAGUAGUAUUAUACGAGUCAGUGUAAUACCUACGGUGUUGAUUUUGAAAUUUGAUGCUCUCUAAUGUUCCUAUAUUUCCAUUGAUCAGAAAUCUUUGCUAUAAGUUUCUUCGAAUUAAGCGCUUCUCCAUUCUCAGUACACCAGGAGAAACACGUAAUAGUUUUCAUGAUUGUUCACGUGCCCUCUGGAAUCUGUUAUUCCUUUAAUGAUUGCCCAUGUUAUUAUUAUAUCUUAUAUUAAAGGGAACUGUCCUUUUAACAUGUUUAUUAUUUCUUGUAGCCGCUGGCCUGGUCCUCCUCGAGGAGGAGGAGCAGGAGGGGCGCACCCAGCAUCAGGAGAGGAGAGGAGAGGGAGAUCCAUGGUGGCCGGCAGCGAGAUCCGCGCCGGGAUCGGGCCUGCUCGUCAAGGAGACCCAUGCCAUGGACUAGUAGCUCAAGCAGUCUUCUUUUCUUCCUGCCCAUCACCAUCUCCAGGUUGUCAUCCUCAAGGCCUCCACCAUCUGCAGGUCUUCUUCUUCCAUUCCAUUCUCUGCUCUGUUCUUCUCUGCUGCAGUGUCUACAGUGGAUGCAAAUACCUGAUUGUAUAUGGAUGGAUGGAUUGCAGGGUCUACAAUGCACCACCUUGAUUUGUUGAUUCGGUCUGGAGCAGCAGCAACAACAGCUCCUUCCUUCCAUGUAGAUGGAGGGCAUGACCUGCACAAGGAGCUCCAAGGAGACAAAGGUAUCUGCUCCCUUGCUGUACAUGUUUGUGGGUUCUCUGUGAUGAUGAAACCACUGAUUGGAUGUCCUGAUUAGAUACAAUGCAUUCCAUUGAACCGUGGGGACAACAUGAGUAAACUUUGAUGUUUUACUGUACAACUUUUGUGGGGUAAUAUAUGUACAGUGAGUGGAGGACAACAUGAGUAAACCGUGGGGACAAUAUAUGUGGGACAACGAAGGUUGUGGGGUAAUGCUUUUGUGAAUCAGUUUGCUAUUUGUAUCCAAGCUGAGUAAACUUUGAUGUGGUUACUGCAAAAGCUCUUGUUUUAUAUCUAACCGUACUAGGUAUGUUUUCAUGAAAUGUACAAAAGUGGCCUGGGAUCCCUCACAUUAAUCUGUACCAACCAUGUUUGAUCCGACGGCCCAGUAUCAAUUUUUCUAUUCUUCUACCACAAGCCCAAAUUCUACUCUAGUUCCUCCCUAUUAAUUCUCAGACCAAUGAUAAGAUGAUGAAAUUUCUUACUGCCUUCAAGGUCAACUGUGUUGCCACCUUUCUUGCUAGAAAAUCUUAUUUUUUUUAGGCAUAUAAAUUGGCCUGUGCAUUUGGCAGAUAUAGUAGUGUUUGUACUAACAGAUGGAGCACAAACAUUAUUUGUUAAGAGGGCCCUGCAGUUAUAUUUUGGCUGCCUUUUGCUCCUUCAUUUUUGUGUGUUUGAAAAUCAAUACAACUGACAUGCUUUACUUCUUCCAACAGGGAAUACCUUUCUAGGCUCCAAUCUUCACAGUUCUCGUUGAUUCAUCUUGCUAGCAACUGAGUAGCUUUUUUGCAUACUUCUGUCAACAGCUCAAUGCCACCAAAUCUUUUUUGCCGUUCUUCUCUAUUAUACAACAUCUGCUAUACAUCAUACAGUGCCGAGCUCCUCAUACACCAACCAUUGUACAAACAUAUCAUGAGUGGUAGGAAAAUUUUGAACCUGUAGUAUGUCACCUUGUUUUCUAGAUGGGCAAUAAACGUCGUCAUACUGUACUGUAAUAGUGUCUUACUGGGUUUCAAUUUGGUUUGCUUUGUACAAUGCUUGCACUGGAAAUGUUGAACUAUCGAGCCUCCUCUACUCUGUUCUGCUGUAUGAUUACAAUUGCAAUAGUAUUAUUGGAUCUGUUAAUCAGUGCCUACAUGUUAGAUCGGCUUGAUUUUGAGAUGCAGCGAGACUGAUGUUUCUGAAUUCUGAUGUGAAGGCAUGUCUACAUCAGUACAACUUUGCAUGCAUAUUUUAUUGACUAGAUAUAUACGUGUUGAUUGUAUGUUCCUCUAGUUUCCUGAUGUGCUUGUUUAUUUGGAUGCACUGAACCUUUGCAUGUAGUAAUAGUUCUCUGAUAUACAUGCAACCUGAUGGAACUUUCAUGCUCUGCCAUUGACCUACCAUGAAUAUAUAUUACUACAGCAGCCUGUUACUAUUACUACAUGCCAUCUUUUUAUUUUCAGUAGUGAUUUUGAUGCAACCUGAUGGAACUUUCAUGCUCUGCUGGUGAGAAUAAGAUGUUAUAGUCUAGAUAUAUGAUGCAAAGUAUGUUGUAUUUACACACUUGUAUCAAACUGCAGCAACCGCACAAGUGAGUUGAGGCAGGGGAUAGAGAGGUUGAGCCGCUCGGGUGCUAAUCUUGUACAGCUACGCUCUUUCCAGCGUCGACGCGACCAAACCAAUGAUGCAAGGCUUCUGCUGUUGCUGCUGCAUGUCUUCAUCAACUUAGUUGUUCCACAGGGAGAGAUAUAAAUCCUUCACUUGUUCACUUUGUAAUCUGCAGAUUACUUCUUCCAUUAAUCACCUAGUGCUCCUGUUAGUGAGAUUCAUCUAGUAUUUUUUUUUUGCAAAGCAUGCAAUGGUUUGGAGUAGUUGAUCAUGGCCUGAUGGAACCUCUAGCUGAACAAUAAGAUAGGUUAGUUAGUGUAUUAGAGCAAGAAAGAUGAUAUAUUUAUUAUUUGCUUUUGCUGCUUCUAUAUAUACAUGUAUGUAUGUUUAGUUAUUCGACAUGCUUUUGAAAUUGACUAUGGUUUUAGACCGAAACACUAUGCUUGUUCAAAGAGUGUCCAUGUUGUGUGAUAUAUGAUGCUGCUCCGUUGUGCAUCUCUCUUUUCUUGUGUGCCGCAUCAUUGUAGAUAUGCUUGAUAGAGUAAAUGAUUUCAGUUCUGGUUGUGUCAAAUCUUUACUAUGUACCAUGCUUAGUGUUUAUUUUACUGAGGCAUUGGGCAUUGGAAUUUAGGCAUUUAUGUAUAUUUUUAGUUCUGGAUGUGUCCAAUGCAAACAUUACUGUCAACUGUCAAGUUGAUUCUAAAAUGUCUUAUUAAGUUCAUUUCAGAUGGUUAUUUCUGGAUUUAGUACGAAUUUAUUGUUGACCUGGCCUAUGCUCUGUACCAAUUUAUUGCAUUAUUUUAUUAUUUAGUGUUAAAUAUGCUGUUAGAUUUACUUUUAUUUUGUUCCUAAACAUUUUGUUCUAUAACGUGCAGAUGCUGGCCUUUCAUGUUUCUUUGCGAAUAUCAGGACAAAGUAGUCGGAGGAAGCAUAGUUCUAGCUCAUUGGAGCUAAUUCUGAGAGUAAUUUGAUGUAGCAGAACUUGGCUCAUGUGAUUGUACACUUGUAGAGCUUGUUAUCUGAUUGUAUACUUGUAGAGCUUGUUAUAUGAUUGUAAUCUUGAUGCUGAUCACAUUUGUAUGUGUGUUAUAUGGUGUAGCACUUUGAUGGUUGAUAAUACUCGAAGUAUUUCCCGUAUUUUCUGCGCGCCAAUUUAAAUACUAGGUAUUUAUUUACAUUAAAUUAAAAAAUUGAAGAAUAUGGCCCUGAUAGCUAGGACCUAGUACCAGUACCGAACAAUGCGGACCCACUUGACUAGUGAACCCAUUUUAUAUAAAAAAUGAAACAGGCCACGACCCAAAAAUAAAAAGGCUGCAAUGUUGGGCUUGGCCAAGGAAGUCGACCAAAAAUUGACAGGAAAAAUAUAUAUAGGAAGGCUGAAUUGUUGGGCUCGGCCCAUGUAAAACACC
rnacentral:lncRNA from 1 species